rnacentral:lncRNA from 1 species
CUAGUUCUAGAAUUUGAUUAAAUGGUAGUUUCCUGAAGUUUACUUGAACAGUUUACUUUCUGAUGUUCUCCCGUGAAGGAAGGAUUAGACAAAAUAUCGAAGCAACCUCAAAAAACACAACUGAAAACAAUGCCUCGCCCUUGAAGUGAAAGAGGGUACUCCCUGUUUUUGAUGUUUCUGGAGGUUAAAGUCGCGUGAGACCAAAGAAAACGAGGGUGCCAAAAAUUCAUCUGUGAGUGUUUACCAAAGUGCUUCGAGGCUCGAGCUAAAGACAGCAAUACUAGACAGAGUCUUAAACAUGCCUUGCAGGGGCAGAUGAAUUUUGUAACUAGACAAGUUCGGUUUCCGUAGAAUGGUUAAAAAAAAAAAAUACGUUCAGGCACCAUUUCGUUACAGGUGUAAUUCAUCAAAGUUAAAAAGAGUAUAAUGUUUUGAUUCAUGUCGAAUAGAUUGGUGCUAUGAGAACCUUUAUUUGAUCAAUGGAUUUACGGGCACCCAUCUUUUUCAUAGUUGAUGUGGAAGCUUGUUUGAAAUCCGCUGUUCUCUUCCUGUGGUUGCAGAGUCUUCUUUAUGAACAGACUCAGAUGUAAAGAUUCGACACCUCACAACUUCAUUUGAACAAAACCACCCUUGAAUGAACCAUAGAGAGGUUGUGAUCUUCUGAAACUGAAAAUAUCAUCUAUGUGAACAAUGUGAGGCUCAGCUGAUUCACUAGUUUCUUCCUUCCACUCGGGUGCAUGCAGCCUCCCAUACACUCGAACACUCAGUGUCUUCUUCCGGGGUGCACCAGCUUUAAUAUUCUCGUUGAAAAAGUCAAUCAAUUCUUGUUGUGUCAGCUGCCUCAGUGCUGCAACCUGUUUCAACACUAAUACUGUGUAAACCAACAACUUCAGGACAUGAAUACUCAACUACAAGUGAAAAGGAUAAUUUUAAUUUGCUCAGGCCCCUAAGAAGGUUUACAGAGAGCAGAGGCUGCGUUCUUCAUGUCUCUUGGUUUACCUUUUUCUCCAAAAAAAAAAAAAUUGAAAAUAAAUCUUCAAACAUACAAAAGUCUUAACCUGACUUGGUGAAAAAUAAAUAAAUAAAUUGAUAGUAAUUCCCAUACCUCAGCCUCCCUCCGAUCAAACUUGAGGGUCCCAUCAGAAAUCUCACGCCAGUAAAAUCCAGAUUCUUCAUUUAAAUUCUUGUGUUUCUCAAGCUUCAUGUCAAUCAAUGCAUUUACGUUGUUCUACAAAAAAAUGCCAUUUUCACUGUUAAGCAGCCGGGCAGAUUUUAUCCAAAAACACUCAUAUAAACAGAAUAUCUAUCUGGGAUUAUCAAGAAUAUAAUAAUUUCACAAAAAAGAAAAAAGUGGCUGAGACUGGGACAAUAUAUGCAAUUACAGAAAAAUUGAUAAGGAAUAUUCUCUCUUUUAAUAUCACCAAUCUCUUUGUACUUAAUGUAGUUCCAUUGCAUUUCAAGAAUAGGAUAUGACAAAAUGAUGAUAAAAAGAUGGAAUAAUAUCAUAUUUAUCUCAUAAUAAUAGCAACUGUCAAAGCCUUGGCAUAUGUAUAUAAGUUAAUAGUCUAGAAUUAAGAUUAGGGAAGUACUUUCUCUAUUCAAAACAUGUUAUCCAAAUGAUUCUUUUGAUAAUUCUGUUGGUAAAAGAUUUGAGCAUCAAACUUGAGCAUUACUGAUAUAAUAACUUCCAACCUUCUGUAGUGCUUAUAAAAACAAUCUCAUCAGUGAAAACACAGAUCAGAAUAACUCAUGUAGAAUAGAAAUGUGUCUCACCUUGAAUUGGUCACUGGUCAUCUCAUAAAGUUUACUUUCAAACAUCUGGAGAAAUGAUUCAACUCUCAGAUCAAUAUACUUCGGACCCUGUUAAAUUGACAGAGCACUUGAGCCAAAGCGACAAUAAUGCUGUCAAUGUGCAUAUUCAAAGAACAAAACUAUGCUAUAACCUUUACUGAGGAUUGAAUGAUGAACUGCACUCCAUGGAUACCAAAAUCAUUCCUACAUCAAGUAGAUAGCUAAGUUUAAAGCAAAUAUUCCAAGCUGAAGGAGAACUAGGGACCUCAAGUUAUGUACCUCCGCCGGAGUGCUGUAAUGUACCCAAGUUGCUCAACGGUUCUAAGCUGGUGGAAAGCUGGUUGUUUUGCAAUAAGAUUAAGAAGCUGCAGUGCCACAUUCAUGAGGAAAUCAUCUCGAUGAACCUGAACAACUCAACAUGACAUGACAUGACAUCAGAAUCGCAUCAGACCCCCCACAGAAACAAUUGGUCCGGUCAAAUAGAGAUCAAGAAACAUGUAAAAGAUUUUGUUUGACUCGUACAUCUAUUAUCCCUGUUGCAUGGGUACCAAUAACCUACAUUUCAGAAUCCAUACCAGUCUGUCCCAAAACCAUAUAAUUCUAAUGCAACAAAACAAUAUUAACUCCAUGAAUCAAGGAAUGCUCGAGGAAAACCAAUGUCGCUUAGCACAAGAUAUAUAUUUUCAAGAAAUUGGACAAAAAACUAUUUCUUCAGAGCUUAAGUUCAGAGCCUCAUCAACAUGCAUAAAGAACCGUUGGAUGACAUGUAAUUCACUUAAAGUUAUGGCAAAAGCAACAUAUAAAUAGAUCUCAUCACAGUUUGUGCUGUCUGAAAGUAAUGGCAGACAUCAACACAUAAAUAAUACACACUGUACGUUUGUCUUAAAAGUAAUGGCGAAAACAUUACCAUAAUUAUUCCUUAAUCACAGUUUGUUUAGUAGUUUAGGGUCUUAGCUGAAUAACCUAAUCAUACGGACAGUAAAGAGGCAAACCAUUGUUCAUCAAGAAAUGACGGCCCAAACAAAGCCAUUUUAAAGCAAAAACCGCCCUACAUCAUGUGCGGGGGUCAAUUUACCGUGAAAAGAAGGAAAAAGGCUCAACUACUUACUAAUCUCUUUUUUUCUGCUUUUCAGCGCCGCCCCCCCACCCAACAAAAACAAAGGGUAACAACUUGGCAGAAAAUAUUCGUUGUAACAAAUAUCAGUAUUUCAUUCCCUUUUCAUGAAAAUAUCGAAAAUUUGAAAUCAAUGCCUCCAACUACGAUACAACAAUGGGAAGAAAGAAUACACUAGUGAUAAACAUGUGUCCCAAUAACAAUUAGAAUACUGCUCAAGAUUUUAUCCUCUUCCCAAAAAGAUACUUUCAAAGCUUUUCAAGUAUUAGAAGGGAUAAGAAAUGCAUGCAGAAUACCAGCUGCUUAAUUUUACAAGGAGUAUAGACGCAGCAUAGAACACGUAUAUCAGCAGCCAAAGCACUUAAUUAAAUCAUUAUUUUCCUUUUUUUUUUUCUAAAAAAAAUUCUUGUACCUGAAUAUAAUGGACUAGGCAAGAAUUUUCAUCACUAGGAUUCAGGCCUUGGUUGGAGUACACAUAAUUCUUGCCCUUUUCAAGUUUAACAACUCUAUUAGUCAAAUGCUGGGAUGGGAACAAUGGUUGGCAUAUUGGGUUUGAGCCCUUAAAGAAAACAUCUUCAAUGUACUGGAUAAUCGAUCCUGCUUCAUUAGAUUCAAUGUUUCCUGAGAACAAAUGAAAGUAAUGAGAUCAUAAAUGGAAACAAAAAGGAGCGACCGAAAUCUCAAACAAUGCCAUUAAAAAAUUGAAACAGAAGGACCUGCUAUGUAACAUUCCAAGAAGGUCCUAGAGAGCAUCAUGGGUACAAAUUUAGCAAGAUCUUCAGCUUCAAGAUGAGGAAGAACUUCAAGUUCUUCCGUCCAAGGCCACGUUUGAUCCUGAAGUAUUAGAGAGCAGUAGUACAUAGCCAGUUGAUAUGGCUGUAGAAACUUAUUAUUAUGGUAUUCUUUUGUCACCAUUUCCUGCAAAUAAAUAAAGGGAAUGAAAAACUUUAUUCAUACAUGAACAGCUUGGGUUCAUAACAGACUCACCAAGGGAAGCAACAUGAUAAUGGUUCCAUACAGUGCAAAUGGGGAUUGUUAAGUCAAAAGUUCAACCAGUUGAGGAGUCGCUCACAGAACCAUCAAAUGCAAGUUCCGGAAGAACUAAAAAACGGUGCUAAAACAUUUUUAGAAACAGCUUAUACACUUUAAUAAUCAAUUUAUACAUCUUUCUAAACAGAGUAGGAUAUAUAAACAAAAAUAUAUUUUUUACCCUUAAUAUUUUAGUAUGCCCCUACCACAGUGAAGAUCCACUUCUGGGGGCUUGUGGUUGCUUAUGCAUGUGCAUCCACAUGAAUGGAAUCCAGGUGUAAAAGAUGAAAGAAAAAGAUACAAUGCAUGCCCACACCCAAAUGCACACCCCUAAAGCCUUCAUGCUGAAAAGCCAUGUUACUGAUUUGGAGCUCAAAACAACCAAAGCUAUGCAGGCUUUGGAACAGCACAACCAAAGAAAAUUAUUGUAAGCUCCCAAUUAUAAACAAAUAAUACUAGUACUUUGAUUCAGUUAGAUGUUUAAGAUUAUAAAAGAAAAUAACGUUCAACGUCAAACAGGUCAAAUAUUUUAAGCCUAAAUCAUUACCUUAAUCACAGAAAACCUGUCAGGUUGGACUUUGAAUUGUGCAAUUUUUUGAAAAAUAGUUUCCAGCAAGAUCCUCAAUUUGUGAUUAUAUCCAACCACUGUAACCUGUAGAAGCAAAAACCAUAAAAUCAACACAUAAAAAUACAUACCAACAUGAGAUAAAUAUCAAAGACAAGUGAAAAAAAAUACCUCAAAACCACCCUCAGUGUGGUUUAUCCCAUAAUAAAGCCCAGCAACCUGAGCAUAGUAAGCUGAUACAUAAAGAUAUGAUGGGUAAGGAAAAAAUUUAAUUUUAUUCACAAAUACAGAAAUUAUGUAAAUUGUGGAAGUUAUGCUCUAUACCAGAAACAUAAGAAUUUUAUCAAAAUGAAAGAGAAGAUGAUAUGGAAGUGAACCAGAGGUUCACAGGGGAAACAAAGACAGCCCAAAAAAAGCUACCUACUAACCAUAUAGAACAGACGCAUAUCUAUACCUCAAACAGCAUGCAAAUCCCAAAAUUUACUAAAAUGUGAAAAAAGCCCAAUCAAACAAAAUCAACACAUGACCUCUCUCAACUCAACUAAACCUAAAUAAAGGGAUCAGGUAUGGGAAGCCCUUUGGAAAUAAUCUGUUCCUUCAAUGAAAUUUUAGUAUGUGGAACUCUAGUUUACUUUGGAAAUCUUUCCCCCUUUAUUUAUUCUAUAAAAGUUUGUCUGUUUCCAAAUAAAAUGAAUGAAAACAAUAGUUAAAAGAAAAGGAAUAGUCAUUUGUCCAAUCCUACAUCAACAUCCUACAACAUUUAUCCAGCAUCUUACCAUAUUCAUUCAAAUAGUCAUGUAACAACUGUGUGAAAAUAUCAGUCAGAACUUCAGAUUCAGGAGAGCUGCUAGCAUGGGGGCAGUUGAAAUAAAUAUUAACAAAUGCCUUGGGUGUAGAGAACAUUGUGUCAGGCUUGUACCACAAUGUUGAAUAGGAUGACUUUCUCAACAGAACUGGGAAUUUGGCCUGUUACAAAGAACAAUUGCUUUAAAGAGAACACAUCACAAUAAAUUUUACUGUAAAGAUGGGGAAAAAAAAAUCCUCAGACCUCUUGUGUAUCCUUAAGAGACAAGUCAGUGGGGACGAAGACAUUAGGAGCUGGGAGAUGCAGAUUUUCCUUAGGAGCAGACAGUAUCCAGUCCUGGAAACAAAUAAAGAUUUUGAAGACUCAUCAAUUCCUUCCUUCAAGCUGCUCUAAUCACCAAAAUUUAUUUAGCUGCUUCCACUGAAUGUGGGACAAGAUAAAUAGCAUACACUCCAAUCUAAUAUGAACUUUUCCCUCUUGGAAAUCAUAUCCAUGAACCAAAAGAGAAACCCUGCAACCUCACCCUCCAUCUCAUUCUAAUAGCCAUUUGCCUCCAAGGACAUUGACAACUGUUAUUAUUACUAGAAUAAUGAAUCAUAUCAUAUUUAAAAUCAAACAACGAACCUGAAUUAUGGACUCAUUGAUGUUCUCAACGGAAUAAGCAGUACCAUACCAAGGCUCAACCAUCUCUGUUUUCCCCUCAAAUUGCUUUGACUCCCAAAAAAUUCUGAUAAACAGAGAGCUUGUUAGAAAGCAGACAAUCUGUCAAUCACAAUAGUCUGACUUUGAUUGAAAGAUGGAGACAGCCAAUUGUACAUGAAUUAUCAGACACAAACAUGUCCUUGAGCAUUACUACCAACAAGCAGAAAGAUGCAAGUAAUUACUCUUGAAAACAAAGUAUCAAAUCCGAAACUGCUAAACCAAGUCAUUGGCAAUACAAUGAUAUCGAAAUGUUUCCCUUUUCUUUUAAACAUAAAGCAAUGGGAAGCAAACACUUAGUUAUAUUACAGCAGAUAAGGCUUCGCAUGCACAUGAAAUACCUUAAAGCCAGACAAAAUUAUUUUACAAGAAAAAGAACUUAUCUGAUAGCAAGAAGAAUGGGAAUGAUAAAAAUCAAACAUCAUCCAGCCAUAGAAGUUCAACGAUAAGUCAAAUGCUUAAAUGAAGUUUAGAUAACUUGUACCAGAAUCAGGUACCAUGUCCAACAAAAUAGUGAACUAAAGUUAAAUUUUUUAACAAUCAAAUCAGAACAGACGUUAUAUACAAAGUUCAAAUAAUGGAAAUAUGUGCGUCAUUCUUCAUAUGCACUGAGUCAAACACUCUCUAAGCGCUUACAAACUUACCUAACAGUUUUUGGAGAAAGCUCCUUCAAAGUCAUUUGAAUAAUCUCUGGAUUGAAAUUGGAAGGCAAUGAUUCACCCACUAGCCAGUCUUGAGGAGGAUAUGUCUGAAAAAUAAUUUCAAGGCAUCAUUUACUAACAGAAAAAACAGUAAUAAUUGACUCAAUUCACAAUCAAAAAAUAAACUGCAAAAGAAAGAUGUCAAUCAGCUACCAGUUCAUGAUUCACAAGCCCAAAUAAUCCUUAAAAUGUAGAAAAAAGAAAAGAAAGCCAAAUUUGUAAACUGUCUAUAAGAAUAGCACAAAGAUUAGUUCUUGCAAAAAGCUGUUGGGAAUCUAAAAAUAGAGGUCCAGGAUUCAAAAACAACGGUAGAACAAGAUUAUUAAUCUACUCACCAUAUCCACUUAUUCUAUAUCUAACAUUAAACAAAAACACCUUUAUGUGCAAGGGAAUGAGACAAUGAGGCAGGCAAGAUAACCAUAUUUUUCGUUCAAUCAAUCAUCGGAUAAAGGUAUUUUCUAGUGUUUCAAGUGGUGUUAGAAGCUAUGCCUCACAAUCAGUUCCUCUAGCUAUACUCCUACACUAUUCCAAUUAUUUUAAACAAUGUAAUAAAACUGGAUAUUUCGUUCAACCCAGGAGGAUUAACUUUACAAAAUGGAAAAGAACAUAUACCUCCAUAUUGGCAGCAACAGUAACCACAUAGUCAAUCGGGGGGACUUUAUCCUGAUAAUGAAAUGUCACCUCACAAACAGUUGAAAGCUUCAUAAGAUAAAUAAAAUGUCAGAAUGUUGAAGACUAGAUAGGCUGAAAACAAGACAGGAAACCUUCCAGAUGCAAAUUCAAUAAAUAGUAAACAAUUGAGGUACUGACAAGGAGAGAGUCGAUUAUCCUUCAAGCAAGACUACAGCAUGACAAAACUUUUAAAAUAUUAUGAAAGACGUAAAAUGCAUGAUAAUAAUACAAAGCCAGACUCAUUGAUGUGUUGGACUGCUGUCAUGAACUUUCCUUCCUUUCAGAUUGCAUGAAAGUAUAAAAGGAAGAAAAACUAGAGGGCAAUAAAUUUGAUGCAAUGUUUUUUCCUUUACACCGAGUAAAAACUAUUCUCAAACCUUCAGUGGAUAUACUGUGGAUGGCUAUACUCAAAUCUCUGGUGGUCAGCAGAACUAUAUCUUAAAAGCAUCCGUUAAGAUACAUCAUCUACAAGAACAUAUUCUUCCUGUUUCAACUAUAAUCCUGAAACUUAACAAUAGCAUGCAAGUAACGUUUGAAUAGCAACUAUCAUAGUUGCACCUUUUCACAUUUCUACAUAUACAUCAUUGACAUGGCCAAUUACAAUGAGGAGUCAUUAUCCAAAAGACCAACUUUUCCAACAGCAUCGUAAGAACAAACUAUCGAACAAUAAUAGUAUCUUGCAACUAAAAAGUAAUGCCAUUAGCAGAGUCAAAUAACCUCUUGUUUCUGACAACAAAAUAAUAGUAGUAGUAGAAAUAAGAAGCAAAGUAGAUACUGAGCUAACAGCCAAACCCCAACAUUCUCUGGUAGAAAAUUUAAUGCAAAUCAAUCAUCCUACCACUAUGCUCUUCAACAGAAGCAUCCUACAAAGAGGCAAAACUGCACGAAUGCAAGCAACACGUAACUAACAAUAAUACUAUGCAACAGUAGCAAUUAACAAGAUGCGUCAUCAUACCUCAUCAAAUAUCCAUUUGCUAGCACCAGACUGCUGUAAAAGGUUUAUGUAUUUAAAUAACAACCCCACAACAUCUUGCAUGUGCUCUGCUAGUCAAUCAAGGGGGGAAAAUUUUUUAACCCAAAAGAUCUACAAAUUGAAGUUAUUUGCAUAUUCUAGCAGAACAAAGUAAAUCAAUUGAUUAUAAUGAAUCACAUUCAAUUAAAUGCAGUGCGAAAUACAACUGCAUUACCAUGACCAGAAUCAGUAAGAUCAACUGUAACUUCAAAGAAUGAAUAGUCCAAAGUCCAAUCUCCUUCAUCUGCAGCCAAUGAUGUAGCCCAUCCUGCAAAAAUUUAUUUCAAAAAGAGGUGACUGGUCAGUUGGCCUUUCAAAGGUGAAAAAUUUUGGUGUGGAUAACCAAAGACCCUGAGCUAGUGUCAUCAAAUUCCACUUUGAUCUUUAUACACAAAACAAACACAGACAUUAUCAACCAGAACAUACAUGUGCUUAUAUCAAGACUUCUUCCCACCCUGAAACUUGUGCUUAUAUCAAGACUUAUAUCAAGACAAAUUGUACAGAUUUCAGUAGACGUUAACCUAAGUCAUCAACAAUCCAGCCAUGAAAUGAGGAUCAGAGAGUGCUUCAUCCCCAAUAAGCUGUUUGCAUCAAGCAGUGAUUCUUAAAAUUCUAGAGGAAAAUCAGUCCCUCAAGAAAGCAUAACAUGCAGUAGCUUUGUAAAUUGUUUCUAACAUCCACACAAUGGAAAUAUGACAGAGUAGGCAUUGAAUACUUGUUGGGGGGGGGGGGACAAUGAGAAAUACACUGUAGUGAAAAUCUAAACAGAACCAUUUGUCUCCUAAGAUCUUAAAAAAAUUGAAAAUAUCAUUGUUUUAUGUAUUUUACUAUUCAAAUUCACAAAAACAAUUCAUUCUGAACUAGUAAAGAAGAAGCAUCUCAAGCCUAAACAUGUAGGAACACAAAUUAUGGACACUGAAACUUGGUUAAGUUUUCAAAUAAAAAAAAAGUUUCAGGAUGCAACCGAAAGCUGCAAGUAAAUUGAGAAUCAGAAAUAUAAAGGAUAAGCAGAACCUACCCAAUGUUUUCAAGAUGAAAAACAAUGAUCCCUCUGAUUCAUGCCCAAUAAGAUGACUGAUAUAUCUGCCUGGUGCUUCCUUGUAGUGAUGAAUGCUUGGAGUUAUUGGCCAUCCAAUUCUUAGUUUGUGACCUUGUCUAAUUGGAACAGCUCUGACAAGAAUCUGAAGCAAAAAAUAUAAACUAGGAAAAUUUGAAACAAAGAAAAAGUUCUUUCCUACUUUCUGCAGUGUCCCUUGAGACCCUUUGUCACCACAUAGAACUUGACCAUACCUGUAAAUGUUCUGAUGUGCAAGGCUGACCAGGAAAACGGAAACGAUUUCGAUCAGUGUUCCUAAUGUCCUGAAACUUAUUCUCCACUAGACCUUGAAUUUUAUCAACACUUUCUAGAAACAUCCAUCACAUAGGGUUGGUCAUUAUAUCUCAGAGUACUUCAGUCAAGGCCAAAAUACAGCAGGAAGAAUUAGUUCCUAACCUUUUGAAUACACAACCAGAUGCAUGAGGUUGGAAGAGUAAUGUUCAUUAUAAAACUUAAUGAGCUCAUGCCUUGUGUCCAAUCCUUUCGCUCUUGGUCGAACUUCCAAAGUUUCCCAGUUACCUAAACAUCAACAAGUAUUUGAUAUAAACGUCUAUCUCGUUGAAACACAAUAUGCAGAAACUAGAGCGAAAAGGUGAAAGGAAAAAGAAAUUGUGAACACAAUGAAUUGUAGACAUCGACAGAACAACUUGGAAAUACUUAAAUCAUUUUUUCAUAAGACUCUGAAAAAUUACUAAAACGAAGAAAAUGAUAAAUGGAAAAGUAUAACAGAAUGUAACACUUUGUAAUAAAGAACGGAGAGAGAGUCAAGUAAGUUGCUGACCGGUGCUAAACUUAUGAUAUGGAUGAUCUUCUGAACUUAGAUGUUUCCAGAGCUGUACAAAUUAAAAAAAAAAAAAAAACAUAAAGGUAGUCAUUUCUCACAGAAACACUACUAAAACGACUACUAUGGUAAAAAGAUAUAACACCUUAUUCAUUAUUAACUUGCUGGAGCUCAAAUACAAUCGUGAGGACCAGCUUUAUAAUUUAUGCUUUUAAGCCAAACAAAAAAUUAAUAUGAUAUCAACAUUAAUUUGACCAAGAGGUCUUAUAUUUGAAACCUCCCAUAUAAUUGCAUUCAGAUUUGUAUUUGCAUUUGCAGUAUCAUCUGCAUCUGAGUUAGUUUCUAUUUGAGCUUAAUCCACAUGACAAGGCUGUUAAUAAAAUUCAGAGGGUCUGUUAAUACUACAGUUGAUAAAAUCCAGAUGGCCUGUUAAUGCUAUAGUUGACUAAUCUAUUAGCAUAAGCUUUUAGGUCGAUUGAUGAUGAUGCUAAUUGUUAAAAGCAAUAAUGAUGACAACAUCAAUUAAGAUAAAUUACUUUCUUAUUUCUCAUUAAAAAGGGGGAAAAAGAAGAAGAACAACAACAAAAACAAGAUCCUAGCUUAGUAAAAUCUAUUGGUACCAAUGCAAAGAUCUAGAUGAAAUCUUUUCUUCUCCAAUUAAGUUUCAAAGGUUGUAAAACAGGCCUUCGAAAAUAUACGAAUUCUACAAAAUUUGAUCUAAAUUAAUGUGGGACCUAUAUAUAAAUUUGAUACUUGGCAAUAAUUUCCAUUUAGCCUUAUUUCAAUGUUACGCUUAACAACAGAAAUCCAAUCACUGGGCAUUAUUUUAGCUUGUUCAUAUUUUAGGAGUUAAUAUCUAGGUUUGAUUGAAUAGGCUUCACAACAGAACAUGAGUCCUUCUCUAUUAUAACUGUCCUGAUUGUAUUUUGCAUGAGGUCCUCUGUGGUUUUUUUCUUUUUGGGGCCACAUCUUUAGUAUUUGCAGUUUCCUAUUUAGAAUUUCAACCCUUUAGCGAAUUCAGCAAAACUGGCAAGUCUCAUACAUUCCAGCCAAAAGCUUUUAAAUGAAGAUCAGUUGCACUCCUUAGAAUCAUGUGAUAUAAGCGUAUGGGAAAAAAUUGACACUGAGGCACUAUACAUUACAUGUGAUGAAUAUAUCUAUUUAUUCCUCUUUCUUGGAUUACUGUUCACAACCAAGUAAAGCAGCAUGGAACACUGUCUUAACCUGAUAUUUUGGUCUCAAAUGCUACUCUGAUCAAUAUCCUUUCAAAAUUCAAAAUUCUACACAUAAUUUCAACUCUUAAGCCACCCUUUGUACCAUAAUAUCGGCACCUAACAAAAAAGAGGACCUGCACUCUUUUAACAGAUACAAGCAAUAAGCACUUCACAUGCCAAUUUCCAUUAUCAAGUAAAGCCCUAUUUUUUUCUAUUUAUACGUAAAAAAUUUAUAACAAAAGCAGUACCAAAAAUGUGGAGCAACUGUGGUACAUGGGAAAUAUAUAAGAAACACCGGAAACAUAACCAAACAAAAGCAUAGUGUUUAAGAUCUCUAAAAAUUCCAAAAAAGGACGAGUGAAAAUGAUUUUUUGGAAGAUGAGUACAACAGAAAGACCCCAAACCAAGCUAAGUCCAUUACCAUUCAUCCAUUUUUCAACUAAUCAACACUGCUAAAAUUUUCUUGAACCUAGAACACUAAGCUAUGAAGAAUGACAGACCAUAUUCCAUAGAUCACCAAUCAAAAGGCAUUAUAAGAGAAGAAGACCUAUACAAUCCCCAAUACCCUUGUGCCAUAAAACACCAGCUUAUAAUAAUUUAUUUCUUCUUACCAAAUUUUAUUGUGUUACGAGUUCAACCAAGGAAUAUCAAUUUUAGCAAAUUAUAUCUCAAUCUAUUCAAAUAAUGGCCAAAGGUCAGAUGUCUGUGCAUGUUCAGGUUUUUUUUCAGUUCAAUGGAGCACUUCUUAUACCAAAGAACAUAGGAUAGCAACCAGAAAAAAGGGAAAAAAAAAAAGAUACACAAGUUGCAGCAAUAAAAUAAAGCUUUAUGAAGGAGAACUUUCACUUCAAAACUGAUACUCAGGCUCAGCAAUGGAGUCCAAGAUCUCUUGUGAAUGAUAACAAAUGAUAUAAUGAUAUAACUUAGAAAAUAGAAACCCAAGGAAAAAUCAUCUCCAAAUAUUAAAUUAAUGGAAGUAAGCAAUACCUGGUUUAAUCUCCAAACAUCAGACAACAAGUUUUUCUGGUUCUCUGGAUACAAGCGAGGGAGGAGGAAGGAAAGCGGAACUGAAUUAAUGAUAAUGAAACAUGAUUCUGAAAGUACAUUAAUGCGCUAGACUCUACAAUGAACAACUAACCAGAAUCAACUGCUUUAAUCUCCCUCAUGGUAGCAUCAGCUGACAUCAACGGUUUAAUAAAGAACUGUGCAAAUCUGUGCAGUAAAUCACAGGAAAGACUCAGACUCAAAAACUCAAGUACUGAAAGAUUUGAUACUUAAGAAAAAUGAAAAAUGGCAUGUACCUGUCCAAAGCUUCUUCAAAGGAGUCAGGGUUUACAUCAAAGUAGUAGUUUGUAUGCUCAGAAGAUGUAAACGCAUUUGCCAUUCCUCCAUGCUGUGCAUAAGAAAAUUAAUCCGCGGUGAAAAUUAGAACAACACCUUGCUCGGCGUACUUACAGGGAUUAAUCAAGAAAUAAAGCAGAGAGCAGUUUGUAUUUAUCACUUGAUCACACAACCUAAAAUGUAUGUGCUCAGUUGUGUAAUGACACCCUAGUUUCUACCCCAAAAGAAUUCCCAAGAUAAUCCUUAAAAGAGAACAAAAAGUGCACUCUCCAAACAGACACAUCAAGGAACAUACCAGUGAUACCACCCAUACGCAGGGGGCCAAAUUAAAAAGGAAAUGAUCAAUCUCUGGAGCGAACCAGAUUUCUAUAAAUAAUGCAAAUAAAGCUCAAGACAGGGAAGCAAAACUACAUGAAAGACAUACUUCAGUACUUCUGCUACCAAAAUAUGAAUGCGCCAAUCAAAACAGGACACCUGUACCAAGGACCUAGGUAGGAGGUAUUCCUUUAUCCCGUAAAGAAGAUUACAGGCCAUAAUAAUCACCCACAAACCAUCUUUCCUACAAGGUCACUAGAGUUGCUUCCCCAAUAUAUUAUAUAUCAAAAUUAAAAAUAAAAACAAAUUUCAGACUCCGGAUUCCUCUUCACAUUUCUCAAACUGUAUUUAAGAUCAAUGUUAACCAUAAACAAUACCAAACCACCACCCAAUGACUCUACUAGAAAACAUAAGCAAAGAUAGGAUGUGGAAUCACAACUAGUCUUAGGAUGAAUGCGCCAAUCAAAACAGGACACCUGUACCAAGGACCUAGGUAGGAGGUAUUCCUUUAUCCCGUAAAGAAGAUUGCAGUGCCAUAAUAAUCACCCACAAACCAUCUUUCCUACAAGGUCUCUAGAGUUGCUUCCCCAAUAUAUUAUAUAUCAAAAUUAAAAAUAAAAACAAAUUUCAGACUCCGGAUUCCUCUUCACAUUUCUCAAACUGUAUUUAAGAUCAACGUUAACCGUAAAUAAUACCAAACCACCACCCAAUGACUCUACUAGAAGACAUAAGCAAAGAUAGGAUGUGGAAUCACAACUAGUCUUAGGAUGUGCUUUCAACAACCCGUAGUAAGGCUGUGGUCAUUAUUCACUAUUGCAAUAUUACCUAAAUCAUCACCCUGACACUAUGCAAGAUCAGUAACCUAAAGACAUAAAAUCUAAAGUAAAAAGGAAAUUUCUGGCACAAGUUGUCUCAAGUAUCAAAAGACAGCUUGAGAGGAUCAUGUUCACAAUGUAAUUCAUAAUUUUUCACUCCAGCAUACAUCAGUCAAUGCAUGGAAAGUCCACAGCAUCACUUAGAACGGUAAGAAUACAUAUUGACAAUUAAAGUAUUUUUUUCGACUACAUUACCAAACAUUAUCAAAUCAUAUCACAAGAAAUUGAUAGACCACCGUGCCAGCGAACUUUCUAAACCCUUGUUGAAUAAACUGACUACAUCUAAAUCCAAUCCGGUUAUGGGUCAGCUCCACAGAGAAAAGAACAUAAAUGGAGUCAUCACCCCAUUCCACAAUAGAACAAUCCAUGGCUGUAAAUUUAAACAAGAAUACCUUUUCCACUUCCAAUCACUAAGAUACAAUCUGACCGCAAUGGCUUGCAGGAAAAUAGAGGAAUGUAAUUAAAACUAAAACUCCCAUCAGCCCUACAAAUCAAGUGAAGAAUUUGCUUCAGGAUUUUGUUUUUAGCAAACACCUGAUUAACAAAAAAGUUAAGAUUUUCCUCUGGAGGGAAAAUGUGUCUUUUUAGUCAGUUAUAUUCCAAGGGAAUAGCAUUCAAAAUUUUUUUCCUUGUCUGUGUAUCUCGCCAACUCCAUCCACUUCUAGUUAAAGUCUAUUAUUAGUAUCAAAGAGCAAGAUUAAGCAUAAAGCAUGAUUCUCUGAAACUUUUACUUAAGAAAACAUACUAGAAAUAAGUGAAACAGGACAUUAUUGAGGGCCAAUACCUCUGAUAUGUACUUUAAAUAGCUAUCCUCCACUGGAUAUUUCUCACUAGCAUAAAACAGCAUAUGCUCUGCACAUUAAAGAAACAGGAAAACAGUAACUAAAGCAAGUUAUAAAUACUCGAACUCAUUAAACAGGCCACAGAAAUUGUCCCCUACAGCCAUAUAAUUAUCUAACUACAGCUAAAAGCAAUAAUAAUGUAGAAUAGGAGAGUAAAAGAAUCAUCCAAUAAAUCACCACACAACAGAAUUCAAAAAAAAAAAAAAAUAUCAAUGACAAUAGCAAACAGUGAAAAGGGAAAAGAAAGUAGGCAAAUUAGGAAGAGAUGAAAGAACCGAGAAUGAAACAAUGCUAUAACUUUAACAGGAAAUAAACAAGCCUGAACAUACAAUGAAGAAAUACUUGAACCAAAAAGAAAGUACAAGUGAAACUUCUAAUUCUGUUUAACUCUUUCUACUCUAAUUUCAAUAUGAGCAACACAUUGUAUUUUAAUCUGUGAUCAGCCGAAAACACGUUUAGAGUCAUCUCACAAAAACCCAUCCCCUUUUUUUUUUUAAGUAACUUCUACAAUUUACAUUCAUACAAGACUAAAAUUUCCCAAAUCACGAAUUCAAAUUUGCCACAAGAUACAUUAAAUAUACCGAGAAAAUGGGCAAGGCCCUCGAGACCAACAGGGUCACAAAAGGCGCCAACGCUGACAUUCAUUGAAGCAGCACACUGAAGCAAAAACAAUAAAACAAACCAAACCCACAAGAUUACUAGCUUAAAUUAAACUGAAAAAAAAAUUUUAAAAAUUUGGGUCUUGCUGGUUACCUUAUCGGCAUCAGGAUCGCUGAUCAAAAGGACAUGAAGAGAGUUUUUAAGGACGAGUCUCCGGUACUGUCUCUUGUCCGUACGUGGCUUUAUAAUCUCUACGUCAUCUUUACCGACAGCCAUUUUUUCAGUCUCUUGCAGAAGAGAGAAACAAUCGUUUUGGCUUUAUAGGGAUCCACAAGUGAAAUGACCGAGACCAAGACUUUAUUUUUUAUUUUUUUAUAAAAAGACCAAGACGUUUUUGCUCGAGUCUCCUGUGCUUUUGUGUUGUGGCUGUCACGGAUAUUUGCUUCCUCAAUAAAUAUGUGACAAAUUUCACAAACCUGCCUUAAAGAGAGUUAGUUAUUGACUUACUUUGACCAAAACGACGUUAUUAGUUAUGUGGUUGUAAGAGAAUCUUUUAUACACAUAAAAAAAAAAUAAUAAUAAUAAUAAUAAAAAGAGAAUCUUUUAUACAAUGUCUGGGUCGAUCGCGAUCGAUACUGCAUGAAUGCAAAACAUUCGAUAAACGUAAUGAAGAGAGAGGCUUUACUUCGUCUGACAUGACUUCAAACUAAUUGCUGUUAAAAUUAUCAAACUAUUAUUGCAAAAAAAAAAAAAACAUAUAAUACUGCAAGUUCGAAUGUAAUUUUUAAAUAGGUUUAUUUAACUAAUCAUUCAAGUUCAAAUUUUUGAGAGAGAAAUAAUAUUAUUAAAGAAGAAGAACAUACCAAGUUGUCAAUGGAAAGAACAGUGAGAGUAAAGAUAAACAUUAAAUUAGAGAAAAGAUUAUAAAAGAAAUUAAUUAUUCGUUUUAUCUAAUCUUCAGCUAGCUUCAUCCUUCUCUGAUUUGAAGGCAAAAAUUUUGUUUAAAUUUGUGGCUGUUGUAUAUUUUGUAAGUUCAAAUGCCCCACCACUCUAUAUUUAAAAAAAUAAAAAAAAUACGAAAAUAAUUUUUUUUGACUAUAUAUUCAUGAUUUAGAUAAUCUUAUGUAGCCUUCUUUUUUUUUUUUUAUAAAUCUAAAUGGGUCUGAAAGCAUAUGUUUGAAUGAUAAUUUUUUUUUUUUUUAAUGUCUAACUGUAAGUGAUAAGUUUUAUACACUCAAAACAUCUUAAAUAUAAUACUUUUAUACUUAUGACCUUGAAAGUGUUAUUUAUAUUUAGUUAAUUUAAAUAGGUAUAUACUUGCAAUGUUAUUUAGUACAAUAGUAUUUAUAUGUUAUAAAUAUUUAUAAGGUAAACAUUUGAUAUAUAAUUUAUGAAAAAUAAUUUUGAUAACAUUAUUUUUUACAAAUUAACAUAGUAUUUAUACAGUAAAAAAAAUUGUUAUCUAAUAAUAAAAGAAUUUGCACAUAUUGAAUGCAUGUUAAGUAAUUAAUACUAAGCAAAAGUUGAGGUCAAGAGAAAUUCUAAUAUGACAUCUAAAUUAUGUUAUAGACAGUUAAUUAAAAAAAAAUUCUUUCGAUUAAAAGAAAUCAAAUGAUUAUUAGGUUUUACAUAAUAGUUAGGUAGAAAAUAAAUUCAUUUGAUGAGAGUACUUGUGAGAAAAAAAAUAAUUUCUCAUUCAGAUAAAAAUUAAAAAAUUUUAUUUUUUCCAUUAAAAUGAAAAUAUCUUAUAAUAAGACUUUAGAUACAAAACCAAACAAGCUAAAAUACCAAAACAUCUUAAAUCAAGUCAAAUUAAGACUUUAGACAUAAAAAAAAAUAAACCCUUACUUUUACUCAUCAAAUAAUGAAACCGUGCACCGCAGACAGCCUACAAAACUCAUCAAAAACGAUUCUAUUCACAACUUAUUAUGAUCAGUACUCGGUAGUUAAGAAUAUUAUUAACUACCCCUUUUUUUAUAAACCAUAAACUAAGAUAAUUGAAACCCACGUAAAGAAACAUUAAUCAAGAAUAUUCCUAAUAAGACGGUUUGCGAACGUACAAAUAUAACAUGAUUUUGUUUUGUGGGACUCUCCGCCUUCAGAUAUUUCUAGGCUUCCCUCUUAUGACGCUAAGGACUCUUGCUUUGUUCUAUUUUAUUUUUCGUGCAAUUCUUGUUUCGCGCGCUGUCAUAGCUUUCUUUCUAUUUUACAAGGAAAUGCUCACUAUUCCUGUUGAUUGAGAUAUUUUGAUGGUCUUAUUAAGAAUAUCAGUCCUCACAUUUGUUGUUAUUGUUGUUCGUUAUAAUCUUGAACUAACAUCCAAACGAAUGAUGGCAAGAUUACUGAACUUCUUUUCAUUGUUAACUUUCUCGUUGAGGCUCAGCGUCGGAGGGCUCCUGCCUUUAAAAAACUCUACCCCUUCAAACUAAGGGUUGGAUCAAUUGGGCCAAGAGACGGGUUGGGCUUGUUUGUCAUUCUUAAAUUCAGCCUAACAUUGAAAUAUGAAAGCACAAUGAAUAAGAAGCAAAGAAAGAAGGAAAAGGAAUACAAUUAUACAAACCUCAAAGAUUCUCUCGCUGAUUUUUUAAGCAUUCGUGAAAGGAACCUAAAUACAGCCUAGGGAACAUAGUGAGCAUUAACCAUUAAAGAAACAUAUAUAUAGCGAUUGAAAAAAAAAAGACUGCUAAUUAAGAAGAAAAGAUCAUGUUGAAGUGUGAGCUGUGAAACUGAUUUCCAGAGACUCAUACGACAUGUCAGUUCAUGAUUGGUACAGAAUACGACUGGUCGGCUAAGAUCAUGCAAAGCCAUACGACAAAGCUGUUUGUUCAUCCAUAUGCGAAUAAGUCAAGCACGUGGUCGUCACAUGCUUACACUUAUUCAAUACGACUUUGCUGAGUGCCGUUUUGGAGCCUUCAUUCAACGUGAAGCAAACACGUGGCUCUGAAGGUCGUUAUGUUCUGUUACAAGAGCAGGAAGAUCUGGUUUUUAUUGACAGAGGAGAGCUGACUGGUGGGGGUAAUUUCUGGGCUCACUUAAGCAUGUAUAUACAGCCUUAAAUGAUGUGGAAUCAGGGUGUGUGAUGCUUGUAACUUCAUCUAAAGACUUGUAUCUUGUUCCUGGUGAUUGAAUAAAGAUUGUUGCUCUGUUCUUCAGAGGAUGCAAGCCAACUCCAAGCUGAACCACUUAAAUCUGUUUUUUUCGUUGGUUGCUGUUCUUUAGUUCCUUUUGUGUAUCUUUUAUUAUUGCUUAAGUAUUUCUUAAUCAAGCAUCAGAGUGUUUAGAUAAAUCUUGGGAAUCUUGGUUGAUUUAAUUCGAUCAAGGUCUAACAAAUUGGUAUCAGAGCCCAACAACUCUGAUUUUUUAUCCAAGAAAUGGCAACCUCUAAGUUUCAAGUAGAGAAAUUUACAAGAGAGAAUGACUUCCAUUUAUGGCGGCUCAAGAUGAGAGCAUUGUUGGUCCAUCAAGGGCUUGAAGAAACACUGGGGGAUCCAAGAUCUGAAAAGAAGCCCAGCAAGCUCAGUGGAGAAGAAAUGCAAGAUGCAUUAGACAAGGCUCAUAGCACCUUAAUCUUGAGUCUGGGUGAUGGAGUUCUGAGGGAAGUUGGGGAUCAAACAACUGCUGCAGGCCUCUGGAAGAAAUUAGAAGAUCUCUAUACGAAAAAGUCUCUAACCAAGAGACUUUGCACCAAGAAGAGGCCGUAUACAUUGCAGAUGGAGGAGGGUAGCUCUCUGGCAAAUCACAUUGAUAACUUCAACAGAAUCAUUCUUGAUCUUGAAGAUAUCAAUGUGAAACUGGAAGAUAAAGGAAAGGCAAUAAUCUUGUUAUCAUCUCUCCCACCUUCCUAUGAACAUUUCGUGGACACUUUACUAUAUGGAAGGCAGUCAAUAACCAUGGCUGAUGUGAAAGACUCUCUCAGUUCAAAAGAGGUCAUAAGGAAGUCAGAAGUAAAAGAUGGUGAAGGCUUGACAGCAAGGGGUAGACCAGAGAAGAAGGAUUAUAGUAACAAGAAUAGAAACACAGCAAAUCAAAGUCAAAGAAUAAAAGUCUGAAAUGUUUCCAGUGCCACAAAGAGGGACAUUUCAAGAAAGACUGUCUAGAGAGAAAGAACAAGAAAAAAGAUGGACCCAAGAAGAAUAGAGAUGUUGUUGUUGCAUCAGAAGAAAAGGAUGAUGAAGGCUAUGACUCAGCUGGUGUUCUUCUAGUCACUGGAACUCAAACCAAUGGUAAGUGGGUGUUGGAUUCUGGAUGCACUUAUCACAUGUGCCCUGAUAGAAAUCUUUUUUCCAGUUAUAGAUUUUUUAAUGGUGGGGAAGUUAUGAUGGGAAACAACUCACUUUGUAAAGUGGUUGGACUUGGAACCAUUAGGCUUAAAAUGUUUGAUGGGGUGAUUAGGGAAUUAAGUGAAGUAAGACAUGUUCAUGAGCUAAAAAGAAACUUAAUAUCACUAGGAAUCCUUGAUCAAAUAGGCUGCAUCAUUAAAAUGGAAUCUGGGAUUAUGAAGAUAAUUAGAGGGUCCAUGGUGAUAAUGAAGGGGGCCAAAAAUAAUGGCUUGUAUGUGCUGUAAGGGACAACCAUUACAGGGGAUGUUAGUGUCUCAACCAGUAAGAAUCCAAACAAAACACUAAUGUGGCACAUGAGAUUGGGGCAUAUGAGUGAAAGGGGGAUGAAGAUAUUAAAAAAACAGGGAGUCUUGAGGGAUGAUAAGAUAAGUUCUGUUGAGUUCUGUGAGGUAUGUGUCCUAGGAAAAUCCUCUAGAACUAGCUUCAAAACUGCAGUGCAUAAGACCAAAGGAACCUUAGAUUACAUCCACUCUGAUCUGUGGGGACCAGCACAGACAACUUCUUUAGGUGGAGCUAAAUAUUUCCUAUCCUUGAUUGAUGACUAUUCUAGAAUGGUUUGGGUGUAUCUCUUAAAGAGUAAAAAUGAAGCCUUUGAGAAGUUUAAGCAGUGGAAAGCACUGGUAGAAACACAAACAGGUAGAAAAGUCAAGAGGCUAAGGACUAAUAAUGGUUUAGAAUUUUGCAAUUAACAAUUCAAUGAUUUCUGUGCUCAGAAUGGAGUUGUAAGACACAAGACAGUAAGACCUACUCCACAGCAAAAUGGACUUGCUGAGAGGAUGAAUAGGACUCUCAUGGACAAAGUAAGAUGUCUGCUAAUUCACUCAAAACUUCCUUAAUCCUUAUGGGCUGAGACACUUAUGAUAGCUUGCUAUUUAGUCAAUAGAAGUCCAUCCAGUGGCAUAGACUUUAAAACACCUAUAGAAAUGUGGUCAGGCAGAGCUGCUAACUAUUCUGAUUUGAAGAUAUUUGGCUGCCCAUCAUUUGCACAUGUAAAGCAAGGAAAGCUUGAGCCUAGGGCUCUGAAAUGUGUCUUCCUUGGAUAUCCUGAGGGUGUGAAGGGCUAUAGGCUAUGGUGUACUGAUCUUAAACCACCCAGGUGCAUAGUCAGUAGAGAUGUGAUUUUCAAUGAACAGGAAAUGCUUAAGAGCUAUAUGCAGAAGCUUGAAAACUCAGACAAAAACACUGGUGUACUGAGAGAUCAGAUUAAGGUGGAGCUUACUGGAAAUCUGGAGAUACAACUUCAUAUGAGACAUCAGAAGAUGAGGAAAGAGAUGCAGAAGAUUCUGAUGAAAUUUCAGAAAAACAAACAACAUUGCAUGAUUAUCAGCUGGCCAGGGAUAGAGAAAGGAGAGAGAUAAGGGCACCAAAGAAGUAUGCAUAUGCAGAUCUGAUUACAUAUGCAUUAACAGCAGCUCAUGAACUGGAUUAUGAUGAACCUAAAACCUACAAGGAAGCUGUUUCAGGGAAAAAUACAGACCAGUGGUUGAAAGCCAUGAAGGAAGAAAUGGAUUCUUUGUAUAAGAAUGACACCUGGACACUUGUGAAAAAACCAGACAAGAAAAAGGUGGUAGGAUGCAAAUGGGUGUACAAACUCAAGCAAGGUAUCACAGGAGUGGAACCAGUGAGAUUCAAAGCCAGACUUGUUGCAAAGGGCUUCACUCAAAAGGAGGGGAUUGACUUUACUGAGGUAUUUUCACCUGUAGUGAGGCAUGCCUCUAUAAGAAUCAUCUUGUCACUGGUGGCUGUAAACAACAUGCAUUUGGAACAAAUAGAUGUAAAAACAACAUUCUUACAUAGGGAAUUACAAGAGUACAUAGUAAUGGCUCAGCCUGAAGGAUUCACAGUCAAAUCAAAGGCUGAUUGGGUUUGUUAUCUGAAGAAGUCUCUCUAUGGACUUAAACAGUCCCCAAGACAGUGGUACCUCAGGUUUGAUAGCUUUAUGUUAGAGCAGAAAUUUCAAAGGUGUAACUUAGACUGUUGUGUUUACUUCAGAGAAGAUUCAGGCAUGAUGGUUUAUCUGGUAUUGUAUGUAGAUGACAUGUUUAUUGCCAGUGUAAGCAUGAGCUUAAUUGAAAACCUGAAACAGAAGCUUAAAGGAGAAUUUGACAUGAAGGAUCUUGGUCCAGCAAAGAAAAUUCUGGGAAUGCAGCUACACAUGGAUAGAAAAGCUGGCACUUUGUUUCUCAGUCAGGAAGAAUACAUCAGAAGGGUAAUUGACAAGUUUGGAAUGGCAAACUCAAAGCCAGUUCAAACACCCUUAGCCCCUCAUUUCAGAUUAUCAGAUCAGUUGUGUCAAAAAACAGAAGCUGAAAUAUCUGAGAUGAUAAAUAUACCUUAUGCAAGUGUUGUAGGUUGCUUGAUGUAUGCUAUGAUCCUAACUAGGCCUGAUUUAUCCUAUGCUGUGAGUGUUGUAAGCAGGUAUAUGACAAACCCUGGAAAGGAACACUAGAGGGCUGUAAAAUGGAUUCUCAGGUACCUAAAUGGGACAGCAACAUAUGGGUUAAUGUAUGGAGGACAGAGACAAGAUGACAGUUAGAUUGUUGGUUAUGUGGACUCUGAUUAUGCUAGGGAUCUGGAUAGAAGAAGAUCACUUACAGGAUAUCUCUUCACACUCAACAACUGUACUGUCAAUUGGAAAGCUCAACUGUAGAGUGUUGUGGCACUUUCAACCAUAGAAGUUGAAUACACAGCUACUGCAGAAGCAGUCAAAGAAGUCAUCUGGCUGAAAGGAAUGCUUAAAGAACUUGGUGUUGACCAGAGGUCGAUAAUGAUAAACUUUGACAGCUAAAGUGCUAUAUGUCUGAGCAAAAAUCAGACACAUCAUGAAAAGACCAAGCACAUCGAUAUCAAGUUGCAUUUCAUAAAACUAGAAGUGUUGAAAGUAACAGUGAAGUUGCAGAAGAUUCAUACAGACAAGAAUGUUGCAGAUAAGCUGACUAAACCAGUUAUUAGAGCUAAGUUUAAGCUUUACUUAGAUUUAGCAGGGAUCUGUCAGAAUUAAGUGACAGAUAGUUGAAGAGAAGAAUAACAGGUUCAUGAGGGUUUCAAGCUCAAGGUGGAGAAUGUUGAAGUGUGAGCUGUGAAACUGAUUUCCAGAGACUCAUAUGACAUGUCAGUUCAUGAUUGGUACAGAAUACGACUGGUCGGCUAAGAUCAUGCAAAGCCAUACGACAAAGCUGUUUGUUCAUCUAUAUGCGAAUAAGUCAAGCACGUGGUCGUCACAUGCUUACACUUAUUCAAUACGACUUUGCUGAGUGCCGUUUUGGAGCCUUCAUUCAACGUGAAGCAAACACGUGGCUCUGAAGGUCGUUAUGUUCUGUUACAAGAGCGGGAAGAUCUGGUUUUUAUUGACAGAGGAGAGCUGACUGGUGGGGGUAAUUUCUGGGCUCACUUAAGCAUGUAUAUACAGCCUUAAAUAAUGUGGAAUCAGGGUGUGUGAUGCUUGUAACUUCAUCUAAAGACUUGUAUCUUGUUCCUGGUGAUUGAAUAAAGAUUGUUGCUCUGUUCUUCAGUGGAUGUAAGCCAACUCCAGGCUGAACCACUUAAAUCUGUUUUUUUCGUUGGUUGCUGUUCUUUAGUUCCUUUUGUGUAUCUUUUAUUGUUGCUUAAGUAUUUCUUAAUCAAGCAUAAGAGUGUUUAGAUAAAUCUUGGGAAUCUUGGUUGAUUUAAUUUGAUCAAGGUCUAACAGAUCCGAACAAUCAUACUAAUUGAAUCUAAAUUUUAGAAUAUCUUUUGUAUCUUGAAAGAAGAAUUUUCAAAAUUAUGAAGGAAUAUGUCCAUAAAAAUCUAAGAGACAACUCAAUAAAACUUCGUGAAUUUACCUUUUUUAGGGUUUUUUUUCCUUUUCACAAAAUUAAAGAUAAGGGUAUAUUUAUCUUCAAAUGUUGUUAGCGGUAGUAUAUUUUUUAACGAAUCUUAAAUAAAACUUGAAAUCCCAAUAAAUUUCUGUAGAUUAUUACAGUAAAAAAAAAGUGCGGCAAUCUACACUAUCAUUUAUCGAAGGCUUUAUGUACACAAAAAUAAAGAACGAACAAGAACAUGUAAAAUCACUGUAGAUUCGUGGAUUACCUGCCAUCUACAAUCAUAUUAAACUUCUGAUCAUUAAUUUCAUUGUCUAUUACGUUAAAUGCAAACACUAAAUAAAGUCGAUCUAAUUUGUUGAAGACCUAUAAAUUGCAUUAAUAAUAGCCUUUUUUUUAUGUCUCCUUAUCAAUUUCAAUGUAAAUAUUUCCAGCAUCCCCUAUAAACCAUGUACCAUUUCCAUGAUAAUUCAAUAUCAAGAAAACUUCAUAUGAUUUAGCAUAUCACAUGCCCUAUCAAUCAAGGUCAACCUUCUAGACGAACUUUUUUUUUUUAAUGGAAAAGUAAAGCUUUCAUUACUUCAACCCGGUGAAUACAUGUCUAAUCUUAGGUGAGAAAUUUUCCACCCAUACAAAAGAUUCCAACUUUUCCAGUGCUAUUUUAGCUAAAAGAUGGGCACUAGUAUUACAAGCUCUGGGCACAUAUUUUGUUUCGAAAGAACUGAAGGUUUUCUUUAAGCUUUGAAUUUCUGAAAUAGUCCAACAUAUCUAUGUUAAACUCCUUUCUCUAUCGUUUAUCGAAUCUACUACUUCUUGAGAGUCUGUUUCCAGAAUUAUUGAUUGCAUACCCAUCUAAUGGGCUAUUUGCACUCCCCAUUCAGCUGCUUCUGCCUCCACACUUGACACCUCUCCGCUGAACUUUACAUUUCUUAUGCCUACAACUAUGCAUUUUCCAGUAGAGUCUCUUAUUAUUGCACCUAAUCCAGCAUAACUCUUAUUUGAAUCAGUAGCUGCAUCAACAUUGAUCUUUAGCCAUCCAUGGGGUAGGGGAGUCCAAACUGUUUUCUUUGUCUUCUGUAAUUUUUCUUCAUUCGUAAUCUCUGGAAACUAAGUUCUUCUGAAAGCCUUAUUAAUUGCUUUAGCUUUGGCCAUUGAUAAUCUUGGUCUAACUUCAAAUCUUCACAAACAAAUUGGUUUCUAUCAUACCAGAUCACCCAAAGGAUAUUCAUCAUCAUUUCCAUGUCAGCUCUACUUAGCUUCUUCUGUAAUCUCAUUAAGUCUCCUAAAAUAUUAGGAUUUCCCAUUUCCUGAAAGGAACUUGCCAGAGGUGAGAGUUGUCAAACUUUCUUUGCAGCUUUACAAGUAAUCAGAGCAUGCAUGGUGUUUUCCACUCUAUUUCCACAUCGUUUGCAAUAGGCUUCAUGAACAAUCUUUCACUUCCACAAAUUUUCAGCUGUGGGCAAUAAAUUUUUUACUACCCUCUAGAUGAAAAUCUUGAUUUUGGCCGGGAGAGUGAGCUUUCAAAUAAAACUCCAGUUACUACUACUACUGUUAGAGCAAUUAAGAGAAUCUGGAAAUUUUAAAUUUAGAGCCACUUGGUAUCCACUUUUCACUUUAUAUUUCCCUCUUUUAUCGUAGUGCCAGAUUACUUUAUCUUCACUUUGUCUUCUAGGCAAGGGAAUGCUUAGAAUGGCUUCUGCAUCUUCCUUCACAAAGUUCUGCUGAAUCAGAUUUGUCUUCCAAUUAUUUUCGUUAUCUACCAGCAUUGAAGCAUCUUUAUUCUAGAAAGAGGCUUGAAUGUUGAUGGUCUUGGAAUCCAGUUGCCUCUGUACACUGAAAUUUUCUCCCCAUUUCUUAUUCUCUACCUAUAUCCAUUGUGAAUUAUCUGCCUUCUGUUGAGUGUUAGAAAAUGUAUAUUUAUAAAGGAGAAAAUCGUCAUUUUAUACUUCAAGUUUUACUAACAUUCUUACUUUUAUGUAUUUAAGCUUUUUGUGAUUUAAUUAUAUGUACUUUAUUUUAAUUAAGUAUUUUAUAUAUUUUAGGGGCAUCAUGAUCAUUUUACAAUGAACGAUAGCUCAGACGACAGAACGAGAGCUCAGACUUUUGAACUCAGGACAGCCGAAAACUUUAGGAGGAGCAUAAAAAGAAAAAUGGCACUGUUCACAUGCAUGAUACUAUUCACAUGUACGGUACUGUCCAUGUUACUGUUCACACAUACGGAACGAUGACGUGGAAUUGACCGAUGAUGUGGCAUUGACUGAUGAGGUGUCACGAUUCCAUUGGAGAAAAUUCUUAUGCACUAUUGAUCGGUGACGUGGCAGCAUGUUAGUGGACCAAAAAUCGCGCAUACGGUACAAUAGAUUCAUGCGCUUGAGAGUUUAAUAAAAUUGGCACAAUAAGUUUUUGGCGCCGUUUCCGGGGAGGUAAGUUAUUUUAAUUUGUAGAAUUAAUUUUUGCAAAUAAUUUCUUUUAAUUGUUUUCUUGUAAUUUUUUUCUUAUUAAAAAAAAGAGUAAAUCUGCAUUUUGAGGUAAGAAUUUCUUUUCUUUUUCUCUUCUUUAAAUUUUUGUAAUUUAAUUUUCAAGUUAUUUUUCUUUGUAAUUUUUCGUUAUCUUAUUAAUUUAUUUCAUACAUUUUUUUAGUGUUUUUUUAUAGAAAGAUUUUAACAGCGUGAUAAGGUUAGUAUUGUAAUUUCUCCUUAUUUUUAUUUUUAUUUAUUUUGUUUCCAUUUAUUUUUUUGUUCUUUACAUGCAUGGUCGAAAGUCAUUAUUACCUAAUCUUGAACCUAUAGACCUUGAACUUGAAAAAAUAUUUCGCACACACAAAUACGUUAAAAAAAAUAGAUUUGCAACAACAACCAUGACCACAGGAGAUGCCAUUUAAGGACUAUUUCAGUCCCUUAGCUAAUUUGAGCACAUUAUGCAUAAGAUACCCAAAUGUAGCUGCUAGGAAUUUUGAAUUAAAACCUAGUGUGCUAAAUUGUCUCCCAACAUUCUAUGGCCUAGAAAAUGAGGACCCAUAUAAUCAUUUGAAUGAUUUUCAUGCUGUUUGUCAAACAUUUAAAUAUGAGAAUUUUUCAGAUGAUUAUGUUAAACUCAUAUUAUUCCCAUUUUCUUUAAAGGGUAAAGCUCGUUCAUAUCUCAAUACAUUGCCUGCUAAUAGCAUUACAUCAUAGGAAAAAAUGGUAACAAAAUCUUUGAAUAAAUAUUUCCCAGUGCAUAAAACCAAUGUUAUUCACAGGGAAAUCUCAGAGUUUACCCAGAGAGAAGACGAGCAGUUUUUCGAAACAUGGGAGUGAUUCAAUGAGCUACUCUUGAAGUGUCCACAUCAUGGGUACGAGAAAUGACACAAAUGCCAAUACUUUUUGAAGGGAUUAUUGCCGCAUGUGCAAGAAUGGCUAAUGGCAACAAGUGGAGGAGAGCUAAUGUCAAAAAGUGCAUAAGAGAUUUGUGAAUUCUUUCAGCGACAAGCAGAUAAUUCCCAAUAACGGAGUCGAUCGCUCAGGAAUACUAAAAGAAUUAAAGGAGUGAAUGAGGUUAACGUUGGUGAGUCAACUUCAGAAAUUAAAGAAGUCAAAGAAAUGGUUGAAGGUCUCUCAAAAAAUAGCAUCGUUAACGAUUGCUAAAUCAACAGAACCACAUGACCAUGACUUAUAUUCAUAUCAAGACAAUGUCAUAGGUGUAAUGACAAAACCAUCAAAUUACAACCCAUACUCUAACACAUAUAACCCUGGAUGGAGAGUCCACCCCAAUUUUUCAUGGUCUCAAGGAUUCCAACAGAAUGGACCAGCAGCUCUUGCUCCACCAAUGCAACCAAUUCCUCAAGUUCCUCAAACCUCUCAGCCCCCAUUUAGACCAUACUAUCAGAACCAGAACUACUCUCAACCCAGACCAUGGGAGGAUUAAUUCCAGAAUCUCAAGAAUCUUACUCACUCUACGAUCGAGCAACAGAACCGCAUCAUUGUUGAACUACGAAAUGAGAUGAGAGCAGCCUUCAACUCACAAGCCCAAUCAGUUUCAAGCCUCGAGAAGAUGGUAGGACAACUUGCUUCUUCAGUUCGGACUUUGACAAUGACUGUUGAGAAAGACAAGUUUCCAAGUCAACCAGUGCCUAAUCCUAAAAGAGUACAUGAAGCAAGUAUUAAUUCACCACAGCAGCACGGAGAGGUCAAAGCUGUCAUGAACUUGCGAAAAGGAAAAGAAGUCGACAACAAAAUAGAGAUGUCGGUGACGAAAACAAAUCAAAUUGUACCUAUAAAUGUUAAAGACUCACCACCGAAGGAGAAAGAAGAAACCAACCCACGAGAAUACGUUCCGAAAUCUCCAUUUCCUCAUAGGUUAGCUAAGGGAAAAAAAGGAAAAUCCGCCGGUGAGAUUCUUGAAAUCUUCAAACAGGUAAGUGUUAACAUCCCUUUGCUUGAUGCUAUAAAACAAGUUUCAUCUUAUGCCAAGUUUCUUAAAGACCUUUGUACUAAAAAGAGAAACAUUCAUGUUUAAAAGAAGGCUUUUUUAACAGAAAAAGUUAGUUCUAUACUCCAACACAAAAUUCCUCUAAAAUGCAAAGACCCAGGCUCCCCCACUAUCUCAUGUAGCAUAGGAAACCACAUAAUUGAGAAUGCUUUGUUAGAUUUAAGAGCUAAUGUAAAUCUGUUGCCUUAUUCAAUAUUUAUAAAACUUGGACUGGGAGAAUUACACCCAACUCCAGUGGUGUUACAACUUGCAGAUCGGUCUAGAAAAAUAUCUCGUGGUAUUGUGGAGGAUGUGCUUGUCCAGGUAGACAAGUUUUAUUUUCCUGUUGAUUUCAUUGUAAUUGACACUCAACCAAUCCAGGAUUCAAGGAAGCACAUCCCCAUUAUCCUAGGCCGGCCUUUCUUGGCAACUACGGAUGCUCACAUUCAAUGCAGAACAUAAAAUAUGCAGUUGUCUUUUGGCAACAUGACUAUGGAGCUAAACAUUUUCAACAUUGCCAAACAACCUCACAAUGCAGAUGAUGGAAUUGUUGAUGUGGAUUUAAUAGAAACAUUAGUUGAUAAUACUUUUCUUUCAAACCUUAGUGAUGACCUUUUACAAACAUGCUUAAUUCACUUUGGUUUGGAUUUUGAUAUUGACAGAUUGGUCGAUGAGAUCAACGCCCUACUUGACUUAGCACAAUCCAUUGACACAAAUAAAUGGAAGUCAAGAGUUGAACAACUAGCACCAUCAGAGAAGAAACUCAUCCCAUCAUUAGAAUUACCACCGAAACGCGAGCUCAAAUCAUUACCCAACACUUUAGAAUAUGUGUUUUUGGGAGAAGAAAGUACUCUGCUGGUAAUCAUCUCAUUAUCCCUAAACGACGAACAAAAAGGUAAGUUGUUGGAUAUUUUAAAAGAACACAAAGGAGUAUUAGGAUGGACCAUAGCUGACAUAAAAAAUGUAUAAAUCCAGUAGACUGCAUGCAUUAUCUUCACCUUGAUGAAAAUACUAAACCUACUAGAGAAAUGCAACGUCGGUUAAAUCAUAAUAUGAAAGAAGUUGUUAGAACUGAAGUCCUUAAGCUAUUAGACGCAUGUAUCAUUUACCCCAUUUCUGAUAGUUUAUGGGCCAGUCUUGUACAAGUUGUCCCCAAAAAGUCAGAAGUCACAGUAGUUACGAAUGCUGAUAAUGAAUUGAUACCCACUAGAGUGACUACAAGAUGUCGUGUAUGCAUUGAUUAUAGAAAGUUGAAUUCUGUCACGCGUAAAGACCAUUUUCCUUUACCAUUUAUCGAUCAAAUACUUGAUAGAUUAGCAGGUCAUGAAUUUUAUUGCUUCCUAAAUGGCUACUCAUGAUAUAAUCAGAUUCACAUAGCACCAAAAGAUCAAGAAAAUACCACUUUCACUUGCCCUUUUGGCACUUUUGCAUAUAGGAGGAUGCCAUUUGGAUUAUGUAAUGCACUUACUAUAUUUCAACGAUGUAUAUUAAGCAUUUUUUUCUAAUAUUGUUGAACGAUUCCUAGAAGUGUUUAUGGAUAAUUUUUCUCUCUUUGGUGACUCGUUUGAUCAAUGUUUAUAUCGUCUAACACUAGUUCUGCAGAGAUGUAUUGAGAAGAACUUAGUCUUAAAUUGGGAGAAGUGUCAUUUUAUAGUAAAACAAGGUAUUGUUCUCGGUUACAUCAUUUCAAGCAAAGGUAUUGAGGUUGACAAAGUCAAGGUAGAUCUCAUUUAUAAUCUUCCUCCACCCAAAACAGUAAGAGAAGUAAGAUCUUUCCUUGGGCAUGCUAGUUUUUAUAGACGUUUCAUCAAAGAUUUUAGCAAAAUUUCUAGACCCUUAUGCAAUCUACUUGCUAAAGAUGUACCUUUUAUCUUUGAUGAUUCAUGUCUUGUGGCGUUUGAAAAAUUGAAGCAGUUGUUGACAUCAUCACCCAUCAUUCAGCCCCCAAACUGGAGCUUACCAUUUGAGCUCACGUGUGAUGCAUCUGAUUAUACAGUAGGAGCAGUAUUAAGACGAAGAGUUGAUCGACUUCCUCAUGUUAUUUAUUAUGCUAGUAUGACAUUAAAUGAUGUACAUUUGAAUUAUUCAACUACUGAAAAAGAAAUGCUAGCAGUAGUGUUUGCAUUGGAAAAAUUUCGAUCUUAUCUCAUUGGUUGUAAAAUAAUUUUAUUCACAGAUCAUACUGCUCUUAAAUAUUUUCUUAUAAAGAAAGAUGCAAAAGCUAGACUAAUUCGUUGGGUGUUACUUUUGCAGGAAUUCGACUUGAAAUUUAAAGAUAAAAAAGGCACAGAAAAUGUCGUGGCUGACCAUCUCUCUCGUCUCCAUUUUGACACAAUUACAGAACCAUUAACAUUGAAUGAGUCAUUCCCAAAUGAAUAAUUGAUGAGUGUGGAAGUAUUACCAUGGUAUGCUGACAUCGUGAAUUAUCUUGUUACAGGUAAACUUCCAGAGCAUUGGACCAAGCAAGACAAAGGCAAUUUUUUUGUGGAAAUAAAAAAUUUCUUUUAGGAUGACCUUUAUCUGUUCAAGUAUUGUACAUAUCAAAUUGUUAGACGAUGUGUCCCAGAAAGUGAAAUUUAGAAUAUUCUUUCAUUCUGCCAUGAACAAGCUUGUGGAGACCAUUUCAGUGCUAAAAAAACAACUAUUAAAGUUUUACAAUGUGGUUUCUAUUGGCCAACUAUAUUUCGAGAUGCUUACAUUUUUUGUUCUUCAUGUGAUAGGUGUCAACGAAUGGGGAGCAUUACACGAAGGAAUAUGAUGCCACUAAAUUCAAUUUUAGUAGUUGAGAUUUUUUAUGUAUGGGGUAUCGACUUCAUGGGACAUUUUCCCCCUUCUUUUGGCAAUUAAUACAUAUUGGUUGUUGUUGACUACGUACUGAAAUGGGUAGAAGCAAUUCCAUGUAGAACCAAUUAUCACAAGGUGGUGAUAGGAUUUUUGAAAAGCAACAUUGUUUCACGCUUUGGAUUCCCUCGAGCAAUAAUCAGUGAUGGUGGUGCCCACUUUUGUAACAAAGCAUUCAAAACUCUUUUGACGAAGUAUUCAAUCACUUACAAAGUGGCGACCCCAUAUCAUAUACAAACUAGUGGUCAAGUUGAAAUCUCCAAUCGAGAAAUAAAGCACAUAUUAGAAAAAACGGUGAGGUCGGACAUAAAAGAUUGGUCAUUAAGACUCGAUAAUGCAUUAUGGACAUAUAGAACAGCUUUCAAGACCCCGAUUGGGAUGUCACCCUACAGGUUAGUGUAUGGAAAAGCUUGCCACUUACCUGUGGAACUCGAGCAUUGUGCAUACUGGGUCAUCAAGAAAUUCAACUUUGACAUGUAGCAAGCUAGUUCAGAAAGAAGAUUACAGCUGACAGAACUUGAAGAAAUUCGCACCGAUGCAUACGAAACUGCCAAGAUUUACAAACAACGAAUGAAAGUCUUUCAUGACAAGAAAAUUAUGAGAAAAUCUUUCACUCCAGGUCAGAAAGUGCUUUUAUUCAAUUCUCGCUUGCACCUAUUCCUAGGUAAGCUAUGCUCUUGAUGGUCUGACUCAUUUAUUGUUCACACUGUUUUUCCACAUGGGCAAUUGAAAUUAAGGACCCAAAGAACGGUGUCACAUUUAAAGUUAAUGGUCAAAGAUUAAAGGUAUAUCUAGAGUACUAACCACAUGGAGAGAACACCGAAAUAAAUUUGAGUGACCCACCAGAUUUGAAUUGAGUUUUUUUCUUUCUUUUCGAUGAUUUAUUUUUUUAUUUCUUUUUACUAUUCUUUUGCUAAUUGAAAUUAUUUUUGCAUAAGUGUGUUUGUUUAACCAUUAAGUUUUCUCUUAUCAUUGCUAACCAUGAGUGCCAUAGCUAAACAAUUCCUCUUGGACAUUCUUAGACCACUUCAACGUGUAAAAUCUCAUUUCAAAAGGCAGAUUCGAUUUUGUAAAACACAUCAUAUUUAGGCUCUGCAACCACCAGAAUUAGUAUCCCAUGUUGAGGAUUUAGAAAGCCAACUUAGAGACAUUGAGAGAGGUGUCUACAAGGUAAAUUCAAUAAGAGGACGAUUGUAAUUUUCUUUAUGUGUUUUAGCUUAUUUUUCUUUGUUUGUGUGCUUUAGUUUGUUACCCCGAUGAAGUGUCAGAUAACGGUACUCCGUGACAAUCAAGUCGGUUACUUCAGUUUCUCAUAAUAACUGAUCUUCUGAGGCAAAUGUAUGGACAGAAACGAGAUUCUAGCAAAUCUUCAUAAUCGAUUCCUUUCGCUUCCUCAGAAUGCCCUCCUUACAAUCUAUAAAGCUCGGUCUGAACGCAUGCGAUUGCUGAUGAGGAAUAACAUACCUACUGACAUCCGCUGGUUAAUCGAGGCAAAAGUACAAGUGGCAGGUGAGUUGCCUCCUAAAUUUAUUGCAUACAUGCCUAGUUGUGGUAAAGGAAAUUAUGCAAGAAAACGAAGAGGUCGAAGAAUUUUAGUUGCUUGCAUAAGUGUGCCAGAAUGAGAUGCAAUAAAAAACCAUGUUCUUUAGGAAUUGUGUCUGAUAAUAGAGAAGAUAAGAUUAAAUUCAUUACAGAUGGCUUGAAUAAUGAGUCAUUAGAUGAUAUCCUUUUGUCUUUUGAAACACACCCCAGUGGAUAUGUACAAGGAGCGAUUCUCCAGCUAUAACCAUUAUUCCAGAAAGAGAAUACACGAUAUAGUGUCGGGAAUCUAACUAUAAACGACCAUGUUUGCCAGUUUAUAAGAAAAUUGGAUGGGAAGCCUAUCCUCGACCUAUAGAGGGCGUUCAAGCCGUUUUUGGACGUAAAACCAGAGGAAGAUGUGAGCCACAGUCGCAACUACCUGUAAAUAUCUUUUUACUUCACUGUUAUUUUACUUCACUGUUGUUUUAUCAUUUGCAUUAUUGUCUUUAAUAAUUUUAUUUUAUCAUUUUUUCUUUUUACUGUUUGCUUUUUGACUCUCAAACCAGGGCCGGCUUUAGAGUUUGAGGGGCCUUCGGCGGAAUUUUUUUAUGAGACCUCUAUUAUUUUAUAAUUUUAAUACUCAAAGACAUAUAAAAAGAAUUUAUUUCAUCUUUAAUUCUUGAAUUUCAACAAUAAUAAAAAAAUCAAAAGUUUAAAAAAUAAAACCUAAAAAAUAGUCAAGAAGAUUGAUUUUUUUAUUCCAUUAAAACCAUUAAAAACAAACAAACAAAUAAAUAAAAAUAAUUUUAUUUUCAAAUAGAAUAUUUAGAAUGAUAGAAUAUAAAAAUUUUAAAAUGACGAGUUGAUGUUCAAAAAUAAAAAUGGACUUUAUAUUUUAAGAAACUAAGUAUUUUAAAUGAACCAAUGAAUAUAAUAAUUUUAUUUGUAGAGAAGAGAACAAGAAAUUUUUUUCAUUUACUAAUUCUUGAGAUUAUGAGGUUUUUAAUAGAAAUUAAAAGAAAUAUUAAAAGUCAAAUAUGCUAAUAUUGAAUAAUUGAAAAGGAAUGAAGGUUAAAGAAUACUAUUAAUUAUAUUUCUUUAAAAUUAAGGUUCCCAAAUGUAGAUUUUUUAUAAAAAAUAAUUCUUCGUUAUAGAAUAAUUAGGAAUAGAGAGAUAUCUAAUAAACUUUUUGAUUUCUUGAAAUACGUAUUAAAAAUAUUUUAUUAAUUAGAGAAUUAUUAAAGAAAUACUCAAAAAAUGAGGCUUUCUUAAAAUAUGAGGCCUUAGGCGACGGCCUUGUUCGCCUAUACCUAAAGCCACCCCUGUCUCAAACCAUGUGCUUUACGCAUUAAUUGACAUUGACAUGCUACCUCAUAUAUAGCUAUGACCCACUGUCACCAAGAUUCUUAAAUAUAAUUUGUUUUGUUUAGCACUCUCAAAUUAUUUUUGAGAAGUAUCCCAAUGGCAGCUACUCCAAAUAAACAAUUCAAGAAUAUUUGUGUGCUUUCUGGAUUUAAUUAUGGCAAACAUAAAGAGUUCAUUGAGGCAGCCAUAGAUCUUGGUCGAAGCAUAGCAGAGAGAAAACUACAAUUAUGGCAAACAUCUUGGGCCCAUCUGCAUAUUCACCAAAAACUCAUCGGUUUGUUAAAUGUUAAUAACUUUUAUGAUGGCUCUAUCGCAUUUCUUAACCAUGCAAUAAAAAACUAAUUUAUUCCUUCCACAGCGAAAAAGUUUUUUAUUUGUGCUCAUACUGCUAAUGAGGUACUUGAUCUGUUACAAACUUAUCGACCAGAGCCAGAUCCCAGGACCUUGGUGUUGGAGUAUCCAAAUAAUGAUGGUAACAGUAGCCGCAGUAAGAAGUACAAAUUAGAUUUAACUCUCCGCCUGUAAAUAUUUUCUUCUGUGUUACACCACCCAGGUGAUGUCUUCUAAACUCUACUUCUUUCCUUUAAAAUAUUGAGGACAAUGUUUCGUUCUGAUUGGGGGGAGGGAAUAAUCGACAAUUGUGGAAUCUUGGUUAAGUUUUUACUAAUUUUUUGUUGUAGAGACUAACUGUAGCUAACUUUUUGUGUUGAAGAUGGCUGAAUAUGGAAUGUAAUUACUCUAGAAACGAAUUUUCUUCGUUUAAAAAAAAACAAAAAAAUAAUAAUAAUAAUGUUGUUUGAAAAAAAAUUGUGUGAUUUGUUUUAACAUUGGAUGACAUGAUGAAUUUUAAAAUUUAGUAUUUGUAUUAUCUUUGGUCUUAAGAGAUGUUACGCCAUAUUUGCUACUCUACAUGUUGAUGUCGAAGACAAAUAUGAGUUGCUUGAAGGAAUAAACAUGUCAUAAUAAGUACCAAGUGAGUUUUGGAACCUAUCAUUUUUCUUGGAGAGUAACCAUUUUGCUCAUUCUUCAUACAACUUAGUAGUUUAUUAUUUUAUACACGAUCUCUAGAUUUCUUUUGAAUUAACCUUUAAAACAAAUUGAAAAAUUAAAAAAAAAAAGAAAAAAAUGUGUGUUGCUACAUCUAGAGGCUCAUCUAACUAGUAGACAUGGAAGAUUAUUUAGAGCUUUAAAAGACGAUGGAAAGACCAUCUUUGAUCCGUUUGAGCCUUUCUAGCUAUCCCUUUUAUGAAAUAUUCAUAGUUAACCCUUUUGAGCUUUUAAAAAAAAAUUUUUUUUUGGUCAAACUUAUCAUCUUGACUCACUCCGAUUUGGAGUAUUACCCGAUAUCUUACAAGUUCCAUCACCUAUUUAUUUUGAGAAAAAUAUAAAUAAUCAUGUUGUUCAGUGAAGUUGUGCCAAACAAAAGCAAAACAAAAAACAAAAACAAAUUGUUGUUUCAAAAAAAAGAAAAAAAUAACAAUAAUAGGUGAAAUCCACCUUGCAACUUCAAAAAAAAAAAAAACUCUAUAUUUUUCUUAAACAUACACUUUGUUUUCCUUAUUUCCCCUCCUUUGUUAGCCAUAUCCUUAGCCUACGUCACGUCUUAAUAAAAGACCUUCUUGAUUUUAAGGAACUAUAAUCUGAAGUAGAAGCUAGUUAUAUGGGCUAAAAAGAUAUAGUGAUGAAUAAAAAAAAGAUAAAAAUAAAUAAAUUGGGUUUACUAGCAUUUUUAUUUGACUUGAGAUCGUAUUAUUUUUAAGUUGAGGGUAUAUUUCUUUCAUCUUGUUGAAAGCGUGUGAUAUCACUUCUUUAUUAUUUUCUCUCAAUUACCAUUCAUUGGAGUGACUAUUUUUAUUGGGUUUAAUUUCUUUGUGAGAGUGUCACUAUUUCCAAUGAGAUUUUGGGGUUUAACAUGUCAUUCUUGAAAGUAGCUAUGACAAAGUCUACUGGGCAGAUUCAUGGGGAUGGUUGAUAUGUGUGUGAUGUUUCUUUAGACUGGAGAUAAUGCUUAUACUUUUAUUUGAUUACUAUCAUUAGUCUGAUUGAAUAAACAUGAUUGUUUAAAAAAAAAUCAUUUUGGAUUUGAAUUUUUUUUUCGCUUUAUUUGCUAGGGACUAGCAAUAAGCUGGUUGGGGGAUGUGUUGAGUGUUAGAAAAUGUAUAUUUAUAAAGGAGAAAAUCGUCAUUUUAUAUUUCACGUUUUACUAACAUUCUUACUUUUAUGUAUUUAAGUUUCUUGUGAUUUAAUUAUGUGUGCUUUAUUUUAAUUAAGUAUUUUAUAUAAUUUAGGGGCAUCAUGGUCAUUUCACAAUGAACUAGAGCUCAAACGACAAAACGGACAUCACUUUUGGACUCAGGAUAGUCGAAAACCUUAGAAGGAGUAUAAAAAGAAAAAUGGCAUUGUUCACAUGUACGAUACUAUUCACAUGUACAGUACUGUCAAUGUUACUGUUCACGACACUGUUUACACAUACGGAACGAUGACGUGGCAUUGACUGAUGAUGUGACAUUGACUGAUGAGGUGUCACGAUUCCAUUGAAGAAAAUUAUUAUGCACUGUUGAUCGGUGACGUGACAGUAUGUUAGUGGACCAAAAAUCACGCAUACGGUACAUGCAUAUACACAGGAUUAUUUUCAAUCAAAUUGCAUCACUGUUCAAGCCGGUUGACUGUUCAAACCAUGUGGUCAACCCGUGUCACUGUUCAAACCGCGUACUGUUGACUGAUGACGUGGUGCAAUCCUGAGCGUCCAAAUUGUUUUUACUCUAAUGGCCAUGAUUUACUCAAUGUAUCUAUAAAAAAAGGGCCUCUCCCCCUAAUUGGACAUCUCUGAAUUCAUUUUUGAGCUCAAUUUUCUCUAAUUCCUUCUCCAUCUUGUAUUUUCUAUGUAUUUUAAUAAAUUUCCAUUUUGCCCCUAGUUCAAUUAUGAGUAGCUAAUUUUCUUUCAAGCUUGGAUUGAAGGUGAAGUCUCAACAUGUGCCAUAAGCUUUAUUUGGUAAAUUUAUUUUCUCUUUCCCUCUAAUUUUUAGGAAUGUUUUGACUUUUCGUCGACAAAUAAUAAUAAUCUUAUCUAAAUACUGUCCUGGUUUCACCGGCUCCCUAGUACAAGUUAUUAUUAUUUGGCACGAUAAGCCCUUAGCACCAUAUUGAUUAGAGUGUGGUUCAUGAGGUGUGGAUUCCCCCUCAUGAUUUAAUUGGUGCUAAUAAGGAAUAUUUAGCUCAUGAUGCAUGUUGAUACGGAUCCAGAUACUCAAGUGCUUCAUUUCAAUAGAUUUCUCUUCAAUUUAUUCUGGCCAUUUUAAUUUAAAUUUUAAAAUAUUUCAAAUCAUUUUCACUACAAAUUCAUCCACCGAUUUGGAAAAUUAAUUCUACAUACAAUUAAAAUCAACCUCCUCGUGGGAUCGACACUCGUCACCAUUGAUAUAUUCUAUAAUAGAUUCGUGCGCUUGCGAGUUCAAUAAAAUUUGCACAACACUUUUCCCACAUUAUGCUCCUCCAAAUAUAGGAUGGAUUUGACCUUAUGGAAGCUCUAAGAAAAUCAGUCAUUGGGAAAUACCUUGCCUUUAGUACUUUAGCUGCUAAGGAUUCCGGAUUUUGAAUUAUUCUCCAACCUUGUUUCGUAACUAAGGCUUGGUUGAAACUUGAUAUGUCUCUGAACCCCAUCCCUCCUCUAAUCUUGGCUCUACUCAUUUCCUCUCAUCUUGUCCAGGGAAUGCCUCUCUUUUCUUUCUUCUUGCUCCACCAAAAACCAGCAUUAUUUCUUUGAAUGUCAUCACAAAGCCCCACGGGAAUCUUAAAGACACUCAUAGCUUAAGCUGGUACAACUUGUGCCACAACUUUGAUCAAGACUUCUUUCCCCCCACUCGAGACGAGUUUUUGCUGCCAAUUAGAUAUCUUGCUCUGAAUUUUCAGUUUGAUCUCAUUGAAAAAAGUCUUUUUUUUUUUCUCCCGAUCAUAGAUGGUAGCCCCAGAUAUUUCUCGUGUCUUGAAAUCACAUUGAGCUGGAAAAUUCUUUUAAUGUCUGAGGCCUGCUUUGCUGGAGCAUUUCCACUAAAAAACAUGCAUGACUUAUUAUAAUUGAAGAUUUGCCCAAAAGCUUUAGCAUAGCACUCAAAGAUGUUUUUCAAGUGCUGGCAGUCUUUGGUUGAAGCUUGAGAGAAAAUCAAGCUGUCAUCUGCAAAUAAAAGAUGAGAAAUGGAUAUUUAUUGCCCAAAUCUCAGCCCCUAAAUUUAUUUUUUCCUCUCAGCUUGUAUCAAUAAAUUUGAAAAUGCUUCAGCACAUAUUAUAAACAAAUAUGGGGAUAGAGGGCAGCCUUGCCUCAAACCCCUUUGAGGGGGUAAUCAUCCCCUGAGGAACUCCAUUGAUGAUUAUAGAAAAGGUUGGAGAAGUAAUACAAUUCAUUAUCAUAUUAACGACCUUCUCCUCAAAGCCUAAUCUACCCAUUGUCAACCUUAAAAACUCACAUUCCACUCUGUCAUAAGCUCUACUUAUGUCUAACUUCAGAGCCACCAAUCCUUUUUUUUUUCCUUUGCUAUGUCUAAUCUUGUGAAGGCAUUCAUACCCAACAAUGAUAUUAUCGGUUAUCAAUCUGUUGGAAAUGAAUGCGCUUUGAGAAACAUCAAUGACAUCAUGCAAAAUAAUUUUCAAUCUAUUUGCCACUGUUUUGGCAAUGAUUUUAUAGAUUACAUUGCAAAGGCUUAUUGGUUUGAAUUCCGUCACUUUCCUAGGCUUGGCACACUUUGGAAUUAGAGCAAUAUAGGUGUGGUUUAACGGGGUAAUUGUACUUGUGUUAUUAAGGAUGUGAAGGCAUAUAGAGAUAACUCCUUCCUUUACCUAUUUCCAAUGCUUCUGAUAGAAAGCAGCAGGUAACCCAUCAGGUCCAGGAGCCUUAGUUGGACACAUUUGAGCCAGGGCUUCUAUAAUCUCCUCCUUUGUGCAGGGCUGACUCAUGUCUGUGUUCAUUUCUGGUGACACUUUUGGCCUCAUUCCUCUUAGAGCAUCUUCCAUCUGAUCUUUGGUGGGGUUGGAAGUUAAAAAUAAGUCUAUAAAAUACUCACAAAAUUGUUUAGCAAUUUCACCAGUCUCUUUGAUCCAAUUACCGUGAGCAGCUUUUGUUCUCCAUAUUUUAUUUUUUUCUCUUUCUAGAUGAGGCUUUGAGAUGAAAAAAUUUUGUGUUUUUAUCUCCCUCUCUAAGCUAAUCCACCAUGGACCUCUGCUUCCAAUAAAUCUCUUCAUCCAGCAGGAGAUGGUGGAUCUGUCUUUCAAUACUUCUUAAUUCUUCAUUACUUUCAUACCUCCAUUUGUGCUGCUGAAGGUCCUUGAUUCUGUUGACCAGCUUUUCAAGCUUCUUUUUAUUGCCUUCAAAAGCCCUUUUGCUCUAGUGUAUGAGUUUUGCAAGCGAAGCUGUGCUGACAUGCUUAAAGAGCUUAACUACAUCAGUCCCCUCCCACUUACCAUGCUUGGACCAUUCCUCCUCAACAAUUUCUUGGCACUCAUUAUAAGAGCUCCAUAAAUCCUCGUAGUGAGUUCGAGAGAAACAUUUCCUCUUGUAUGCCCUUAUUUAUCUUUGCUCUUUACAGCCAUUAAUAUUGGGUUGUGAUCAGAACACGAUGUAACUAAAUUAGUUGCAGCUUGGUCCUGGAAGAAAUUUGACCAAUCGUUGCUGCACAUGAAUCUGUCUAAUUGUUCCUUAAUGAAGUGGGUUCCAAACCUCCUAUUGGACCAUGUGAAUGGGUAACCAUUGCAACCCAAAUCUCUAAGAUUACAAUCCUGGACAGCUUCUCUAAAAUCUGUGAUCAUACUAAGUUCCCUAUCGUUCCCCCCAUUUUUCUCAUUAAAGUGCAUAAUUUCGUUAAAAUCACCGAAACAAAGCCAUGGGGAUGAAGACAAACUUGCUAGCCUUCUUAGUAGAGUCCAUGUGUGUUUUUUCUGGUUUGUUUCUGGAUGGCUGUAGAUCCCAGUGCAUCUCAUCUGAUCUCCAUUUUCAGUUACUAUCUCUGCAUUAAUGUGGUGGCUGCUGAAGGAGGUGAUAUUCACAUUUGUUUCCAAAGUCCAUAACAUAGCUAAACCCCCACUCUUUCCCUUACUGCUCACUGCAAAACAAUUUUCCAUCUUUAGCUUUCUGCCAACAUUAUUCAUGCGUACAGUCUUCAGUUUAGUUUCACACAAGAAAAUCAACUGAGGCCUGUAUAAUUGGAAGAACUUUUUCAGAGCUAUGAACGUCUGGUCAUUCCCCAACCCCCGGACGUUCCAACUCAAGAUUUUCAUGGUUGUCGGCGAGGCUGCUCCUCAGCCUCCGCCGAUUGAAUUGCUGCAUGGUUGGUUUGUUCCUUGUCCACUGCAUCCAAAUCCUCCCAGUGAAGCUUGUGUUUAUGUGGAAGCCGAUUGUAAGUGUUGGCUUUAGCUACAGUAAUUUUGUGGGGCUUUGAAUUCUGGUUUUUUACACUUUGGGCUUGGCUUUGGUGAUUCCCCCCCCCAGCCUUUUUCCUCCAAUUGAUCCGUAUUUUGUGUGCCCUUUUUUAUUUACAUUUUUAACCUGAAGUUUCCAUUUUCUUCGUUUGAGCCUAGCAUUUUUUGUUCCUGGCCCCUCAUACACCACCUCAUCUUUUCUAGGGCUUUGACUAGAAAUUGUAGUUGACUCUAGAUUUGGCGCCACGCUCAAAUUGGUUCCCUCCCUAUUUUCUGUUCCCGCUUCUUCUCUCUGUUUCUCAUAGCCACUUGGGCUGUCAGUUAUGUUUACAGCAGUAGCUGUGCUGGAUUACUUCUGUACAUUCUCAUGCUGCUUCCUUGGUUCCAGCGUCAUUUGUAUUAAUUGCUCACCUGUCUUUAUUGUUUGGCUUUCAUGCUCACCCGAAUUUGGUUGGUUUAACCCGAGUUUGUUUUCAUCUGGAUCCAGGCCAAUAUGAUGUGGCUGACUUCUCCUCUGGCUCUCUAGCUCCGUGAGGCCAUUGUUUUGUUGCUCCCCCCUUCUAUUCCAUUUGUCUCUGCCUCAGUUUAUUCUGGUUUUUUCUGCUUUUGAUAGAGCCCUCAUAUAAACCCCGUAAGGCAGAUUUUCUUUUGAUUGCCCUUCAUAUAAUACACAUUCUUUGAACUGAUGCCCAAUAAUACCACAACAGAAGCAGAAGUCUGGAAGUCGUUCAUACAAGCCCGGCAAUUCCACCUCAUCGUUAUCUUCCAACUCCAAGAAUACCAUUUUUUCUAAUGGUUUUAUAAUGUUGAUGGAAAUUCUGACUCUCGCAUACGGACCAAUGCAUUCCCCAUCAUCAUAUGUUUCCACUUCCAGAACCUCUCCUAACAACUCCCCCAGUUUUUGAACAUUUUCCCGAUCCAUACAUACUAUAGGCACAUUAUGAAUUUGCACCCAAAAAGCUGCAUAUGUAAAUUCCUCCUUUCUCAUGUUUCCAAUCCCACUAGGUUCCUUUAGCACAAUCAACGAUCUGUCAAAAUGCAAGGUCCUCCUGCCAUCACCUUUCUUUUAUUUGUUUCCAAACCAAACUUAAAAAGAAAAAUAUUGUUUCCCAAGCUUUCAACUUUCACCUCUUUUAUUGUUCUCCAUGCUUGUGGUAAGGCGGUUUUGAUUCCUUCUGUUUGUAUGCUCCGUGCCAGCAGAACUUGCCCACUAGAGAGUUUGCAAUUAUGCGUCCUCCUUGCCCUUGUGUUCCACCCCUGAGUGAUAGUUUUCUUUCAUUGCCGUCUCGUAUGGAGAUAGCUUUGCAUUUCCUUAUUAACUCCUCAGUAUCCAUUGGUAUUGAAUACAUCAACUAACCUCCACCUAUUUACUACCCUGAGUUUUCCAGUAUUUUUUGCCUACUCUCACUUUUAUAAAUGCACUUCCCUAAUGACACUCUCUGAAAAGGUUCAGAACCAAUCACUCAGUCUAAUGAGUGAAGAAUAGAGCCAUUAAAGCUCAAAAUAUACUCCAUUCUUUUGCUCUCUUUCGGAGAGAAAGAGAGCAUUCAACCUUCUGGACGAACUUGUACUUGUAGGAUUGAUUAUGAGAAUGAUUAAAUAAAUUAUCUGUUAAUGUGAAAGAUUGUAAAGUAUUGUUCUGCUAUUAUUGGCAGCAUGUGCCUAUGUCAUAUGAAAUAGAAUCUGUACUUUAUAUGUACUUCGAAAUAUUAGUUGAUAGAAUUCAAAGUAGGAGCAAAUCACGGCAACCAGUAAUGAAACUUCAUGUGGGGCUCCAACGCAUUAACGAAGAAAUUUGUGUGGAAAUACAAUACUUGAGGUUUGGGAAAUGCUUGGACAAAGGGACACUUCUCGCGGCUAAUUUGGUGGCCUUAUAACGUGGCUUUCUUUUUUAUUUUUUCUUCCUUCGCUUUUGUCUUCAAAUUCAAUAUUAAAGUCAUUAUUUGCGUACUGAUCUUUUUGAACUAACUCAUUCUAUAAAUAUCCUAUUCAGUCUAUUUGCUUCUUCAUCAUAGAAAAAAUGGCUUUGUUUCUCUUUCUUUGCUUUGCACUCAUUUUCUCAGCUCUAAGCAAUGGUGGCUCUGCUACCACUCGAGUUAUUCGUCCUCCUCGAUAUCUUGACAGUAAGCAUUUGUCGGAUCCUUAACUUUUGCUUUUUUUUUUUUUUCAUUUUAUAGCACAUACAAAACCUGUAACACAUUUGAUUAUGUAUUAAUUUGCUAAUUAAGCUACCGUUUGUACACGGAAGUAAAAAAUAAAAUAAAAUUAUAAAUAUAUAUAUGACGUGUGCUGUUUUUACAAAAAUAAAACAAAAAACAGCCGGUUGCUUAUUUGGCUCCUUUAUUGGAGGAUAUUAUGUCACAUCGGCUGAGAAUAGUUAUUUAGUUAAUUAUUUAAAUUUAGGGUAACCCUGGACUCUUGAACUAGUUUCUUAAUCUAAGUUAAGUAAAUGGGGAUUAAAUAAUCUUAUAUUGAGUUUCUUUUUUCUAAUUGUUUGUGUAGUCGAUGUGUCUUGCCAUGUAAUUUUGGCCAUUUGAGUGAGAUUAAUGUUGUUCUUCUAAUUCAAGAAAGAAACAUCUAUUGUUUAUGCGGUAAAAAUCUUAAUUUUAAAAUAAAAACACACAUAAUAUCAGUGACUUAUUAUUCCACCGAAGUUAUAUCUCUGAUGUUCAUAAAUUUUUGGUCUAAAAUGUAUUUUAAUCUGCAGCACUUCUGCCAAAUGGAAACUUUGAACUCUCACCGAAGAAAUCAAACCUCAACAAAACGGUGAUACUCGGAAAGUGAUUGAUGCGCAUGGUAUGUAUUCUCAUAAAAUAUCGAAAUAUUGUACACGCAACCCAAAAAGUGAUAACAUCUGAAAGAAAAACAAUUAAUAAGGCCCUGACCUGGCUGUGGGUUUGUGUUCUCAAGUCUCAACUUUUGUUGAGGACACGAUUUGGAGUGGAUUCAACUAUUUCGCCAAUAUGGGUAAAGUAAAUGAGUAAUGACAAAAGUCAUAGACAAUUUUAAAUAAAUUGGUAUGUAUAAAUUGAGAUAAUAUAAAUAGAUUGGUUAAAAAGUGAUAAUAGUUUUUUUUUUAAACUAUAUAGGUCCAUAAUGAUUUUAUAUACUUAUUUGUAUAAGAUAGUUGUAUCUCUAUCAUUAUUCUAUUACAAAUAUAUGUAAGUAGCAUUAAUAAACUUUUGGUCUAUACUAUAAAUUUAUGUAUUUAGAUUCUCUGUGAACUUCAUAUUAUAGUAUCUAUAGAAUGCAACCAACCAAAUUAAAAGACAUUGUAUUAAACAUUUUAUUUGAGGAAAAAAGUUCUCUCUCCAAAUUUUUGGCAGAUGUGCAAUGAAUUUCCUUUAAAAAAAAGAACAAAAAAAAAAAAGAAAAAAGAGAGACCCAACCAAUAAUCUUCGAAAUCCUAGAGACUAUAAAAUAAGAUCAACAAGCAAAGAAGCCAAAAUACAAAUAAAAUUCUCACUAGGCAACCAAAAUAAAAGAAAGAAUAUAUUCAGAUAGAAGAUACAGAUUUAAAUUGUUAUGAUUCCAAUCACAUUAAAAAUGUAGGAUAGACAAUAUUUUAUAAUUAAGAGAUCAAAUGAUCAGGAUACCUUUAUCAGUUAAUCUCUCUUUUUUUUUUUUUUUCUUUCCUGUUCCCACUUGAACUUAAGCCCAGUGUCUGUGGUACAAUGUAUUUUGCUAGUGUUUACUAUAUUUACAGUCAUGAAAUGCAUAUGUUAUUGAAGUGAAAAAUGUGAAAGAUUAAAAUUUUCUUCAAUAUUUUGAUUUGCGGACCGAAUACUCUCAGAAUAAAUCUGUGAAGAAUCUUGUAUUUGCGCAGCAUCAAAAAAAUUAAAAGAAAGGGUUUAAAAAAGAAAAGGUAACUUGGAUAGGAAGGAAGAGAAAGGAAAGUGAGAAUGUGAAGGCCAAGAAACAUGGAGAUAACCUAUUUAUACGAGUGUGCAGUCUCUCCUUCUCAUUCUCAAAGCCAAAAUCUCUUACAUUAUCCUUUUUCUUUCACCUGGGUUUCUUCUAAAACAAAAGUCACCUCUCUGUCUCUAUUCUGUUGUCUCAAAAUUGAGAUAAGUGGUUAGCAGGGAAAAUUGUUGUAAUCAGUUUUGACAGAUAAUACAUUCUUUUCUUUCAGAAUUUGCAUGAAUUUGCAUGUUUAUUUAAUCCUUUUUUUUCAUACGUUACCUUUUGUUUGCUGGUUUUAGAAUUUGAUUAAAUGGUGGUUUCGUAAAUUUAAUUGAACAGUUUACUUCCUGAUGUUCUCCUGUGAAGUAAGGAUUAGACAAAAUAUCAAAGCAACCUCAAAAAACAUAACUGAAAAAUAGGCCUCGCCCGUGAAGUCAAGAGAGUAUACCACCUGUUUUCGAUGUUUCUCGAGGUUAAAGUCGCGUGAGACCAAAGAGAACGAGGAUACCAAAAAUUCAUCUGUGAGUGUUUACCAAAGUACUUCGAGGCUCGAGCUAAAGACAUCAAUACUAGACAGAGUCUUAAACAUGCCUUGCAGUGGCAGAUGAAUUUUGUAACUUGUCUCAAGUUCGGUUUCCGUACAAUGGUAAAAAAAAAAAAACACGUUGGGGCACCAUUUCAUUACAGGUGUAAUUCAUCAAUAAGUUAAAAGAGUAUAAUCUUUUGAUUUAUGUCGAAUUGAUUGGUGCUAUAAGAACCUUUAUUUGAUCAAUGGAUUUACGGGCACCCAUCUUUUUCAUAGUUGAUGUGGAAGCUUGUUUGAAAUCCGCUGUUCUCUUCCUGUAGUUGCAGAGUCUUCUUUACGAACAGACUCAGAUGUAAGAUUCAACACCUCAC